rnacentral:lncRNA from 1 species
AGGGAAAGAAGGUUAAAAAUGUAUGUCAACUGAGAAUUAGCAUAAAAAACAGCCUCCAGGAUUAGAUUUCGAAAACAUACAAAGAAGAUGGAUUUGUGCUUAUGAACUUGAAAGAUCAUGUAAGAGGCCUGAGUGUGAUAUCAUAAGCUAUUAGGUAACCAAUGCCACUUCCCACCACUAAGAAAACAGAGAUUCCAGCGUAUAGCAGACGCCAGCAAGAGAUCAGACACCACAGCCAAAGCGAUCUCGAAACGACAUGACGUCAGCGACCCUUUCUAUAUCAGUGCAAACUUGAAAUGAAUCAACUUCCGCAAGUUUCUAAGAGGGCAUUAUUCUCUCAUAAGAACACUACAAACAAGAUAGCUCUUCAACAUGGAGAAUAUUCUCAAUGAUGGCUUGUGAGAGAAAUGACAAGGUUAUGAAAGCGAAGGGCCCCCAAUGAAAGAAGGUGAUGGCUGAUAUGACGUCCCUAUAACAUAGGCAUCAUUUUAUUAGAACCCAUGUGAUUCUUAAAAUUCCUAUGGAAGGUAAAGUAACACAUUUAACAAUAAUUACAACAACACAGUGACUUGACAGUACUUGGAGAAAAGCAGAGCACACCUCAGUGUUCUAUAUGAAAUUAAAUUACUGAUAUAUGAAAUCUGGAGAAGAGCAUGCGACAUAUUACUGAUGAUAUCAAAUAGCAAUUAAACAUACAGGUUUAUGUAGGACUGUUCCUUGCCAUUGGCUUCCUAGUUAGAGUACCACAUAACUGAAAAGGGAACAUACUCCACUUCUCGCCCACUUGGUAAUAUUCUUAAUUUCUUCAAUGAUCCUUGCAUAACUAGGUCGCUUUUCCACAUCGUCGACAUGAUAUCAUAGCAGGACCUUUAUACUUCAGAGAUGCUUUGGUGCGACUGGCUUUGCAAACAUAUGCCUGCAGAAUGGGCAAAAUUGGCUGGAUAGGUGCACAUCUGACAAAAAUUGGUGGGCCUCAUCAUCUAGGUAGUGGAAUGCAAUGCUGUCCAUCUAGGUGGGAGAAAAUUGAUAGAAACACCAAAAGAAUCUGAAAAAGAUGUAAAAGAAAAAAUUGACAAGGAAUCAUGGCAUACCUGACCAUAUGACUGCUCUGGAAACUGAAGACUAGGAGAUGCAGUAUAUCAACCUUCUAAUGAUCACAGUUGUUCGGUACCUGGAUGUGGCAAGAUCCGCUGCAUUUCUACUGCAGUCAAAAUCUUCCAUCUAAAUGGAGUUUAAUGCUAUACAGUGACCAUUUCAAGGUUGUGCAAGAAACCACUUUUAACUCUGAAUCAAUGGAAUCUGCUGUAUAAUUUAGUUCCAUCAUACGAUCGAAUUUCUUAUCACUGGCUCGUGCAUACUAGGAUAGCAGCUCUAGGAACCAAAUAAUGGAGUUUGCUGAUUAUAGUCCUCAAGGAGAAUUUCCAGCUAAGAGAGUGCUAGAGCACUACAAAAUAUGGAAGAUAAACCAGUUGUUCAGGAAGGAUUAUCACACUUUUUCUGACCAAGAAAAUUUGCACGUAAUGUUGUUUCAUUCUUAAUUGCCUAGUCAUACAAUUGGAAAGAAAUAGUUCAUGAUGGGACCCAGCUUUUAUAAGACAAGGAUGUUGUAGACUAAGAAAAUUAUCAAUCCUAACACCUUGAAUAUUGUAUUUUCCACACCAGGAACCAUUAGGAAGAUGGGAACACCAGAAUUUUAACAGCACAGAAUUUGUCUAAAAGGAGGACUCAAGGUCCACAAUCCGUCCCCCUUUGCUGUUCUGAAAACAAAACCACAGAUCAUCUGUUCAUAUCAUGCAGAUACAUCGCACCAAUUUGGCAAAGGAUAACACAGAAGCUUCACAUCCCCCAGCCCACAGUUUCCAUCAAAAACAUGUGGAAGGAUUGGCCAAGCAAGCUCCACAUCAAGGUUCACAAGCGAGCUUGAGAUAGGUUCGUCUCAACUGUCUGCUGGACCCUAUGGAAAGAGAGGAAAAGGAGACUGCUUCAUUUUGAAGCUCUCUCUCGGAAUAUGAUCUACCAACGUGCAAUCUUCCUCCUGGACAACUGGACUUCAUGCUACAAGGGGAAAGCUAAGCAAGUAGAAAUAAUCUCACAGCUAAAAACAGAAGUCAUAAAGUGGGUAACAGUUUCUUAAACAGAAAAAGACUUUGUUUCACAAAGAAAAGUUCUACAGCUCUGCUGACUAAGUAUUCCAUCUUAAAAGUCGUCAGCCAUCGGGUUGGUUUGGGGCUCCUGUAAGCCCCAAGCAAGCCAAACCAUCUUGUAAAUAAUCCAUGAAAUAUACUGUACAUAAUAAAUUUCGGGUGGUCCCAUUUUUCAGGUGGCUGAACCUCCCAUUGCCAUCAAAAAAAAAAAAGAGAGCCUUUUUUAUGGAUGGAGGAAUCAUGAAAUCUUCAUUCAUUGAAAACUAAUUUAAAGAGCAAAAGUCAGCUUUGAGGCCCUCUCCCAUGUAUCCUCGAUAGAAAAAAACAAAACAAAACACUGAAUCCAAGAGACGGGAAGAGCACAACCAAACUACCUCCUGCACCUUGCCAGUUCCAUCUGUGGCUCCUUUGAGGAACCAGGCCGGAGGCUUUCCUUGUAGGAAUUAUCCUGACAAAUAUUCCGAGUUGGAUUAGAACUUGGCCACAUAAUGCUUGCAGGCAGACAAACUGACAGAAAAGAAAGAAGGAUUAGAGAGGACAGUACUAAAUCCAGGGGGGCUCUAAUAUGAAAACAUAGAGGCAAUCCCUAGAUACGCUUACUGUAGCAAGAGGAUCUUCCCACAACAGCAGGUAGAAGCAGAUUUAAUAUAGUUAUCAUAGCAAAAUUUUCAUUGAUCAUGUCGAGCAGGUGUCACGGCUCAAUGACUUUGCUAGAGCAGGAUAUGGUGCUAACAAGCGCACCCACCUAGCUGCAAUGAAAAUAAAGAUAACCUUUAAGACUGUGUCAGCAAUAAUGAUUCUCUAAUCUCUAAUAAAUACUGCAACAGUAGAUAUCAGCAUCACCAUGAUAUUGUUGCAGCAACCCAGAGUUGAAAAAAAUAAAUGAAUACAGACUUCACUAAUGAUGAUUAAUUCCAAGCUUCUUAUAUAUCCUUCAUAUUGCAUUUCACCAUGUCUGUAAAACCUCCCUUCACCCUUGCCAAGUCCACCACAUUAUUCUUCAUGCCCGUGCCUCGUAGCCAGCUUGUCAAGAAUGGUCAUGCCUAUCAUGGCAGAACAUUGUGCAUGACUCUUACCAUAAGGUUUCAAAUUAGCUUUGUUUUAUUCCAGAACUGACAUUUAACAUUUAAGCAAACACCUCUGAAAAAUCUGUGACCCUUCUUUCCAGCCAAGUUGUACACAGGGAUGAUCAUCAUUCCAAAUCAUGAAUCAUACAGCAACUAGCAAUAGGAAUUGAACCGAAAAUUACAUUUUACCAUUACCACAGAGAGGAUUAUGAAUAAGACCAGGUUGCAUGGCAUCAACAACUGAUGAAUUUCUGAUGCCUUUGAACAGUUGAACACAGUUAUUUGACGCAAUAUAAAGUAUAUACCACCAUCAUUAUUGAACACUCAGAAUCCGGUUCGAUACAACAUUUCCUAAUUAAGGUUGAUAGAAGUAUGUCCUCUAAAAUUUUCAUAUUUUCCAUUAUGAUGUACGAUAUUAGCUAAUCAAUUAUGCUCCAUAAUUAGUUCAAGAAUGUUCUGAAGCAUCAGAACUUAUGCUAACGAAGAAUUAACUUUCAGAUUGUUGUCCUCUGAAUAGAAGGAAGUUUGCAUUUUCUCUGCCAAAUGGAAGCAAGAUUCACCAACAAUCUUCAUUCUCUAGAACAUAUGUGGGCUGGAUAUGGACAUACACUGACAAUAUUUUUAAGGUAAUAAAUUCUUAGUUUACACCCUCAAUUUUUUUUAGGCUUUGUUGAAUCCAAGCUCCCUAUAUAUACCUCCGCGUCGAUUGCUAAUAAAAGUGGAAAAUUCUGAGUGACAAUACUAUUUUCUGAACAGUUGUUUGCAGGCACGCAUAUUUCUAUCCACUUUUUUUGCAUGUCAAUCAUGCUAUCCACAAGAUGACAUUAUCCAGUUUACGGUAGACAGAAGAGGAAUGAGUGCACCACAGGACUAGAAAGAUAUGGGAAUCAAGAGAUCUCAUAAGGUGGUGCAAUCAUGAGAAAAUAGUAGAAAAAUGAUUGGUGGAAUUGAAAGAUUUUAAAAGAAUCAAAACAUAGCACAACAUCAUUAUGUUAUUUGAAAAGUUCUUUUUUCAAAUUCAAAUCCCAAAGGCUGAUGAAAUGAAUCCAUGUUACAACAACAAGGUUAAUUUCUUGGAGCAGAAAUGCAAACCUGUUAGAAGCAUGCAAUUUCACAUCAUAAUGAACAUUGAUGAUAUCAUUAAAAGUUACAUUAAGAAAAUAAGCUUCAUUAUAAAACAAGUACUGACAAGGAAUUACUGAUCGCCAAGACUUUGAGCUUGAACCAUAUAAGCACUGCACUCACCUCCCUUGAUUCUUCAAAAGUGGUGGUGCUUAACUGGCUGACCAUCCAGGAAUGGUGGAAAGAACUCAAGAAGAACACUAGCAUGAUUUGUUUGUUGCACCUUAAAACUAAUAAAAUUACCAAGAAGAUGAUGGUUCCAAUCUCAGCUUGCCACUGAGCUUCAGACUUUCAGCUCAAUCUUAUUACAAAAAUUCCUCAAUCAACCCAGCAAAUAUACUACUCACUCUUUACUGCAUAUACUCUUCUUCUAAUAUAUGUUAUCAACCUAUUUGCACUUUCCAUGGCACUCUCCGUCGAACUCUUCAGCUUACUUAAUUCCUUGGAAUCUUUACAUGUCUUCAAUGUAUCAGACAUCAGCUGGGCCUUCUUCAUUAUAGACUUCCUCAAGUCCACAGUCUCUCCCUGCUCCUUUACCCUAUAAGUUCCUGGAAGCUUAGUAGAAUGGGGGACAGAAUCCAUCAGCCUUGAUAUUUUUCUCUCCAUUUCAAGCAUCCCCGACCUCUUUAGUUCUUUCACAAGAAUCCGAUAUGUUAUGUACUGUGGCACAACCCCCCUCUUAAUCAUGCUCUCAAAUUCAUCACAAGCUUCCUCAUAUUUGCGCAUCCGACAGAGCAUAUGCAUCAGCAUAGUGCUCGUAGCCAAGUCUGAAUCAAAACCAUUCCUGUUCAUCUCUCUGAUCAACGGAACAGCUAAAUCUAACUUCUCCUUCUCGCACAGCAUUUUAAUCAAAAGCUGGUAUGUAAGCCGAUCUGGGGCAUACCCAGAUUGAAUCAUCUUAUUGUAAAGAUUCAUACCCUCCUCAAUCUUUCCGAACUUGGCAAAAAAAUUGAAGAAAUAAUUGUAUGUGGUCUGGGUGGGAAGAACUCCCCUGCCAAUCAUCGUCUUGAGAAUCUUGCUAGCACCAAGAAGAUCGCCAUUCUUGCAGAAACCCUUCACCAGUGAAUUAUAAGUGCAUAUGUUGGGAGAAACACCAUAAAGGGGAAAUUUUUCGAGCAUACCGAGGGCGUCCUUGAACCGACCGGCCUCAGAGAGGGCGUCUACAAUCGGAUUGCAGGUGAGGGCAUUCGGCUCGAUCUCGGCAGCCCUCAUUUCUUCCAGCAAGGCGUUAGCUUGAUCUGGCCGACGCAUCCGACAAAGCCCCUCGAUGAGGGUCCCAUAGGUGACGACGGUGGGGCGGACGCCCUCCCGCCGCAUCUCAUCCCACACCUUCUCGGCCUUCCGGAGCCGCCGCGUCCGGAACCACCCAUGGAGCAGAAUGUUGUAGACCCGGACGGAGGGAGCCCACCCGGGCGGCUCCGCCUCACUCCUCCUCCGGCCAACGAGCUCCGACGCUGCCCCCGUGUGGCCCUCCUUGCAGAGGGCGUCGAUGAGGAGCUCAAAGGCGCCGUCUUGAUUCCCCUCCAUGGCUGCCACCGCUUCCGGGUGGCGGCGGACGUAGUCGAAUGUGCGGAUGGCGGCGGCAGGCAUCCCCGCGCGGGCGUAGCGGCGGAAGAGGGCGGCGAAGGCGGGGAAGGGAGCGGGGGCGGCGUCGAGGAGGAGGAACCAGGCGGAGUCGAAGGCGCGGGAGCGGGCGAGGAGGUCGACGAGAGAGACAAAAUGGGGGCGGGCCCAGCGGGAGAGGGCGAGGAGGGACGUGGGAGGGAGGUCGGAUAGAGGGAGGGACUGGAGCAGGUGAGGGCUGGGUACGACGCUGGAGCGGAGGAGGGACGAGUCAAGGGCGUCGGGGGCGGUGGUGAGGAGGAGUUGGGAGAUGGUGACGGAGUCUUCGGAGGUGGAGCUGGCGUCGGUAAGCGGCGCUGAGGAUGGGUGUGGUGCCUCGCUGGAGUCGGUUAGGACGGGUGGGCCGGGCGGUGGCGGCGAGGGCCACCGCAUGAGGGGGUUUCCAGGGACGGAGCGCCAUGAGUCAGCGGAGGAGUGCAGGAGAAUUGAGGAGAUUCUGGCGAUGGAGGUGAUGAAGGCUCGGUUGGGAAACAUCUCUGCCCCGGUUAAAAUAUCGGUGACAAAUAUGUUCGAAGUCUAACAAUCAUAGUUCCAAACAGAUAAUAUCUAAUAUAACAAGAUUAGCUGGAAUAGUUCCAAUAAGCGGUCACUUUGCCAUGACAGAGUUUUAUAUGUGGAUAAUUCACACGAGUACAAAGCACAGCUCCAAUGAUACAGCGCCUAGAAAAUUUAACAAAAAAAAAAAAAAUUGACAGCAUAAAUAAUCAGUAGCAGUACAUAUGCUCUAAGAGAAGUACGGUAGUGCAAAGAAAAAAAGGGCCCAUGGAUUUUGCUAAUUGCAAAUCAACCAGCUCCAGAAAUUCCCAGGUAUCAUGCUGAUCCAAACUCUGCAAACCACUUCUCAUGGCGCUCGAUAUCAGCAGCAGAAACACUUCUCUGGACCUUGCUCAGAGCUUCUUCAAAGUCGCACAUGGCCACAGGAUCAUUUGAGAUCUCAUCCUUGGACAUGUUCUUGAUCUCAUCCCUCGUCUUGCCUGCAAUUUUCCUCCUCAUGCCGUUCAAUGAAGCAUCCCGACAGACAUUUGUGAGAUCAUCUCCACUAUAACCCUCUGUUCGGCGAGCCACUUCAUCAAUAUCCACAUCUGGAGCUACCUGUUCAUAGCACAAGCAAGAAGAAUUAUAAGAACAAAACAAAAUUUAACCUGAUUUCUAUAAUUUUCAUGUCAAAAUUCUUAAUUAUAUCACAAUAGAAACAUUUGAGAGCUUGAAUGUAUUAUCCUACUGCAAAUCAUACCUCAACAGUUCUUAGAUUAAUCUUGAUAAGCUCCUUUCGACUCUCAAAAUUGGGAAGAGGAAUAUAUAUCCGUUUUUCAAGCCGUCUCCUGUAUCACACGAAUGCAUAAACAGCGAAACAUCAGAACAAAGAAAAGGUUGGGGAUCUAAAAAGAUGGCCAUCAGCUUCUUGUAAACAGAUCUUGCUAAACAAUCAAAUGCUAGACACUGCAGCAGCAAAUUCAUAUUAUUAGGGUUGCUCCGCUUCCAACCUAAGUGCCUCAUCUAUGUCCCAUGGAAAAUUAGUGGCUGCCAAGACCAUCACUAUUUUCCGUUGACCAUCUUCACUAGAGCUGUUGUUGACACCAUCCACUUGCACUAGAAGUUCAGAUUUCACCCUUCUGGAGGAUUCAUGCUCACCUGAAGCUCUGAACAAAAUCACGCAUUGACAAUCAGCAAAUCAUCAACCGUAUGUUGCUAAAUAAUGAAAGCUAACGGAUGAAAUUCAUGAACAAACAUCACCACAUGGUAAAACUUGAGAACCAUCAUCAUAGGGGAGAAAUAUAAACGAAAAAAAGGAAGCAAGGAAGCCAAGGAAUGUGAUCACUAUUCACAUCUUCUAUCAUAAGCCUAAUCAUUAACCAAUUCAAAGAUAGCUAUGUUCACCGAACAAAGACCAGAAUAAAUGUCCUUGCCUCAUACAUCCAGUGAUCUAUGGAAUACUAUACAUUUGUUUGAUAAAAUACAUCCACUUGUCAGCUUAUCUAUCACAAGCUUUUGAAUGAAAAAACUCCAGAUAAACCUAUACAGAUUAAAAGAAUGACCUGGUAAAAAAAAAAAAAAAAUUAUUCAAGCACAAGGUAAUAAAAUGGAUAGGAUAUGAGAUUCCUGGUAUGCAUACCCUCGAGAAGUGCAAAGAGAAUCGAUUUCAUCAAUAAAAACUGUACUAGGAGCAUAAGCUCUUGCAAGUUCAAAAAGGCAGCGAACCAUGCGCUCACUCUCUCCUCGCCAUUUGGAAGCCAGUGUAGCAGAAGAAACAUUGAAAAAUGUUGUACCGCAUUCUGUAGCUACAGCCUUAGCCAAAAGUGUCUUUCCAGUACCUGGUGGACCAAACAUAAGAACUCCUUUCCAUGGCCGACGAAUGCCCUGGAAAACAGAUACAUUAUAGAGAGCCUUAAACACAAUACUCUCUUUAAGACUAUUUCAAUUGCCCGCUAACCAGCAUCCAAGUACGGCUAAUACAAAGAAGCUGAUUAACAGGGAUUAUUGCUUAGCCAGAUUCUUAUCUGAAAGCUUGUUUGGUAUUGUUUAGUAUUGGAUUUCCAUAUGAUGUUCUUAAACUCUGGAGGUAGAAAAGGUCCCUUCAUGGCAACUGACCUUCUAGGCUUUUCAAAUAUUAUCAGAUUAUUUUCUGUUAGAUUAUUCUGUUUGUAACAAAUAAGACUUUUAAGAUAUAAGACCAGCACAAACCUUCAGCCAGACAAAGGAAUGCAGUUAGCCAUUUAAUGUUAAAAGUUGAUUGAGAAGCACCUGAAAAUACUCAGGCAUCCAUAGCGGAAGAACAACAGCUUCCUCUAAAAGUCUUUUGGCUUCAGUGAGCCCCGCAACAUCAUCCCACCUUACACCAGGGCUAGUCUCCAAGACAUCCCUUUCUAGCAUCGCAGCCAGGUCUGCAUCUGGUCCUUCGUACUGCCCCCUUUUUGGCUUUCCUUCCUCUGCAUCACCAGUCUAGAAUGCCACAAGCAGAUCAGUGAUCAUGAAAGCCUAAACAUAUUAUCAAUACUAAAUUCAUGACAGAAACAUCAUUAACAAAAAUCAUAAUGGUGAAAGGGAAAUCUGAAUAAAAAUUAAUAGCAGCUACAAAAAUGAGAUAAUUACUCACAGAUGAAUUGAAUCUGAAGAGUGACAAUGUCACAUAACAAAUAACAGUUUGUACAUCACCUCAAAAGGUUCUAAUAGGAUGAUAUUCUAAGCAAGGGCGGUAGGCUUUAAUCUGUCUUAUUGCUUCUGCCUAAAUCAGUUUUGUAAAUUUCAUCAGCACUAGAUUUUUCCAGGACAUGUUUCAUCUGCUGAACAAGAUUAAUUAAUGGAUGGAAGCAACAAGCUUUUAUAUCUUAUUCUCAUAUGUGCACACUGAUGACCAAUGAAUUUAACAAGGCCUCGUAUGCAGUUCCCCAAUAAAGGUAGAUUUUUAGUUACUUCUAAAUACCUUAUGACAAUUGCUUACAUGAGUCCAGGCUUAAAGUUGAUUAGGAAAUUCAAUGCACUAAAUUGGUUGCAGAAGCCUUCAUUUUUAGUUUUGACAAUGGGCUUCUGAUUUACUGCUUAAACUGGAAUUCCAAAGUCCAAACAAAGUUAUUUAUAAAAAUCCACAUUGGAAAGGAGAAACAAGCUACCAAUGUUACUACUUGUAUUCGUUAGAAAAUGGCAGCUGCCUUAUCAUAUUCAAUUUUUACAUGGAUAAAAGAAAAUGGUAAGCAAAAGCGAAAUCAAUAGGUAAGAGUGCUACAUAUGUGAAGUGAUGAAUUUGCAAAUCAGAAUAGUUGAAAAUGGGCUGUAUUGUCCUUAACCAGCAAAUAAUGACGGCAACACAAAGAAAAGUGGCAUUAACCAAUUAAACUUACAAAAGUUACCUGUGAAUCUGCCUUGCUAGAGCUAGAUUUGCCUUUCUUCCCAGAUGACGUUGAUGAUCUGACACCCGAACUAUUUUUACUUGCACUUGACUUUGCCCCACGUCCGAUUGUUCCAGUCCUAGAAGGACCACGUGCCCAUGUUGCAUCUUGGGAGGAUUUUCUCAUACCUGCUUGCCCAGCUCUCGAGGAUCUUCUGCUCUGUGGAUCUCGGCUAGGUGGUCUCCAAACAUCAGGAUCAUCCAAUGGGGCACCUGACGAAGUCGGGUAUUCAUCUAAUGGUUGGAAAACAAAAGAUUUUGUAGGUAUUGGGGGUGAAGAGGACCGCCUGGACACUGGAAUUUCCUUGAAAGCCUUUAACUCGGUAUCUAACUGCUUGACAAUGUCUAAUUCCUCAGAAAUAGCUUUCUUGCAGUUCAUCCAUUUUGAACGAGUGAUGGCAUCAUCCAGAGUGCUCAGAUGCCUGUAAGCAGAGAGAAUUCUAUUUAAGUGCCAACCAUUGAAAAGUACCACUAAAAUAAUGCUUCUAUUUUUUUAGGCAGUAAUAUUUUAUUCGGAGCAAUGACCAAAGAGGUACAAGAGCAUUCCCCUACUGGACUACUCUGUUGAUACUGACAAUGCACUCAACUGAAAAAAGGCACACUAAAUCAUUAUGGUCGAUCUACAAUCUAUACAAAAACUUUCCCCAGCGACAUGAAGAUCUUGGCCUGCAUCAUCCUCUCAGACAACCUAUUUUCAUAAUACAGCUGUUCGAUUAGCAUGUUGCCCACCAUCAUAGUACAGAACUUGACAAUUCCUGCCAAACUGGUCAAGGAAAGAGACAACUGAGGAGCAAAUGAGAUAUUGUUUCAUCAUCCGCAUGGCAAAUAAUAGAGAUUUAUUAGUUUAAUACUGAUUUUACCAAAAACAUUAGCCCAAAUCCAGAAGUUUAAAAUUGGAAACUUUUAGAUGCCCAACCCACUUUCCAACAGCAUACAAGCCCUCCAAAAGUGAAACGGAAUUAAUGGACAUUCACUAAAAUCAAACCUUUGACAUCUCAUAUGCUCACCUUAAAGUUCUAACACCAACUGUUUUCAUGUCCAACGCAAAGCCAUCAAACACCAGAAAAAAUGGACAAAAUUUUCCAAUUUCAUAAGACAUGCAGAUACAAGGGGAGGAGCCAAGAAGAGGGGGAAAAAACACUAAACACACUCAUUGAGGCAGUAGUGACUUAUAUCAAAUCCCAUCUGGUUAACUAAGCAGCAAGUGUAACAAAUCUCUGAAAAAGUAAAGAAAAAGAGACGAAAGAAAACAGAAAGAGAUGAGACAUAUCUCAACAGUGAACAUGUCAAAAUUGGUGGAAAGUAUCACCUCGUGGUUUAAGACUCUCAAUCUCAAAUAUCUAGAAAUGCACAUAGGACAUAGAAAUCGCAUGAAGCAAUAAAUCUACUUUAAUCGUGUUCUACUGAAAAAGUAGCAGCAACUAGUAUCAACAUUGUUACAAAUGAGGCUCCUCUCCCCUUUUUUGCAUUGCACAUCGAGUCCCAACCCCAAAGAUUUGCUAUUUCGAUUUUCAAACAUAUCAGUUCAAAUGAAUGGUGCCCGAAUGAGGAAAUCAAGCUGGAUAUCAUUCUCCACAAAGUAGUUUUGAACCAGCAACCAACAAUGACACGCGCUAACUACUCCAAGAUGUCUUAUAACCACACCCCUCUGGGUGCCAAAGACAACAGCGAAGACCAUGGAAGAAGUCCUACACAUACUACGGCCCUGACCUUCAUAAAACAAAACAGAAGAAAUUGAUGAUGGAACUUUGUGAUAAAAAAGCUACCUUUACUCGGUUAACUUCCAACCAAUUGAUGAUGGAAUUUGUAAUGAAAAAGGUACCUUUACUCGGUCGACAAAAUUUGGCAAGAAACUAGAUCCAGCCGAUUUGAAACGUAUAUGUAAGAAUAACGAGAGAAAAUUAAUUUUUUUUUGUAAUCUUGAUUGCAAUGAUCCACAGACAGGGAUAGAACAACUGAGGAUUGCGAUCUUAAAUGGAAUACGAGGAGAUGAGUGGGAGCGGGAUCGAAGGAAUUACUUGUUGAUCUGAGCGAUGGCGCCGUCGAAGAAGAUUAUGGAGGUGUCGUAGAGGCCUUCGAGCGCGUACUCUCUGGCUAGCUUCAGGUGAUCUUGGAGGCCCGCUAGGGUUCCGACCAUCGUCGUCGAGAUCUUAGGUUUCGGAGAGGAAGCUAGGGUUUCCAAGAAUCCUAGGUUCUCGCUUGAAGCAAUCCUCGCUCUCUCUCUCUCCCCCUCUCUUCCCUUCCGCAAGGAGACCUUUGUGUGGUUUAAUUUUGCGUGGAAUAUCUCUGUCGCUGUGGCCACGACGGUGACAUUUAAACGUCCGGUGGAAGCGAUAGCUCCAUUACUUUUCGAUUUUCCUUGUUUUUUAGGGGUACCAAAGCCCCCAUUUAAGUUUGAACUUAAAAAUAAUUUUUCAAUUAAUUUUUAUUUUUUAAAAUUAAUUAAUAUAAAUGAUCAAAUUAUCUUUACAAUUAUAAAUUAAUAUUAUAAUAAUAUUAUAAUAUUAAAAAAUAAUAUUAUCUUAUUAUAAAAUAAUACUGUAUUAGUAUAAAAUAAUACUAUCUUAUUAUGAUGUAAGAAUAUUACAAAACAGUAUUUUCUUAUUAUAAUACAGUAUUAUUUUAUUAUAAAAUAGUACUGUCUUAUUGUAAUAUAAUAUUAUUAUAAAAUAAUAUUAUUUUAUUAUAAAAUAGUACUAUUUUAUUAUAAAAUAAUACUUGAUAUUAGAAAAUAGUACUGCGUUAUUAUAAAUCAGUACUAUGUUAUAUAUUAUAAAAUAAUACUACGAUAUUAGAAAAUAGUACUGCUUUAUUAUAAAUCAAUACUGUAUUAUUAUAAAAUAAUAUUAUUUUAUUAUAUAAUCGUACGAGGAUAUAAAGGUAUAACGAUCAUUGCAAUUAGAAAUAGAGAGUUACUUUUAAUUUAUGUUUGGAAUGGGGAGCUAUUUUUAAUUUAAACUCAAAUGAGGAGUUGCUUUUAAUUUGAAACAUAAAAUGAGGAUUUUUGUUUAGUUUACUAUUUUUUAUAAGACCAAUAUUAAAAUUUAAAAUAAUUUUAUUUAAAAAAAAUUAUUUCUAUUUUUUUGUUGAAAUAAAUUUUUUAAAUAUCUCUUAUUAAUUAAUUUAAUUUUUUUUAAAAUAAAUUUUUUUAACAUAAUAUUAUUAAUUCUAGGGUGAUCGACCAUUUCAUCCUUAUUUUUAUUUUAUUCUCAAAUUACAUACUUGUUCUUGGAUUCAAAGAUUUUCUUAUCAUCUUUUCUAUCUUAUAAUUUACUUCCAAAUCCUCCCUCCUUGAAGAAGGGGAAAAGUGGGAUUUAUAAAUGCACCCAAAUUUGCAUGCGUUUGUAUAUUUUCAUUAUCUCUUAAAUAGUUUGGAAAGAGAGAUUUAAAAAAUGUGUAUAUGAGCUGAUAUUGAAAUAGAACAUAUUCAAUAAGCUGUGUGGACUGCAAUUGAUAUAGCAAGCAUUAUUUAAAAAUCUUCUAUUUUAGUAAUUGGGUUGCUAAACUGAACAAAGAGUUACAUACGAAGUUAGGUAUCUGAAUAAAUUUUUUGACGUUGUAUUGCCCUUUUAUCUUUACUCAUCCAAAGUGCUUUGUUCUCUCCUAUUAAAAAAGCUAAAAUAUAUUGUAUUUUAAUGAUAAAAAAAAUCUGUUGCCGCAGUAUGUAAGGAAAUAUUUGUAUAACCUCACAAGUCAAGUUUCUCAAUUUGCCUAAAAUAUAAAAUUAAAAGUUACAUAGAAAUAUUGUAUCUCUUUCCUUUAGAGAAAAGGGUUAAAAAUUUAUGAUCUUCGGAGUUGUAUUUUUCAUACAUUUUCAUGAUUUCAGUUACAAACAUGCCUCUCACUUAUAAAAUUUAAGUUAGUUAUUAUACUUAAAAAUCAUUGUUAUUCUCCAAUGACAUAGUAAACUAUUGUUAGUUAAUAUUAUAAAUUAUUGAUAAUUAUCUUAGAUAAUGUAAUUGUAUCUUCCCUUAUCUCUGCAUUGAAUGUGCUUGCCUGAAACAAAACAAGGAAUAUUAUUAAUACAUAGAUCAUCGAAUGAGGGAGGGUUAUAGGUUUUAGAAGUAAUUAUCUGACCAAAAGGAGGAGUAAGAUUAUAGAAAAGUCUAUUUGAUGAAUAAAAUUAUUUCAAUAUUUUUUAAAUAGAUAUUUAUUUUUUUAUAAUUAUAAAAUAAAUAUGUUUUGGGUAAAUUAUCAGACUAAAUCAGUAAAAAUAUAUCCAUAUAAAUUAAAAAAUAAAAUAUAUAAAAAAAAGUUUAAAAAAAUCUCCAAUAAAACUAUCCAAAAAAUAGUUUCUAUAUAAUUAGCCACUAUAUUGUAAUCCCAAAUAGCUGUACUAUUAGCCUCCUUAUAGAUGCAUUUUAUCUUGUAAAACAAAAGAGGAGUAAUCAUUCUCCAACAAUCUCUUAAUAAGGAAAAGGGAUUGGCAUCAGUAGUAAAUUGAUAGGAGAGCUAACGAAUCACAGUCAAUAAAUUAUCUUCAAGUAUAACACGUGUUAUCUUAUGGUGCAUUGUCACAAAUUUUGUUCUUUUUCAUACAACAUACAACUCAGCUAUACAAGCUAUCGUCUCAAACAAAAGGACUCCUCCAACUGCCGCUAAAAUAAUAUUUAUAUUUUUAAUAUCAAAACUAUUUCAGCCAUAAUCUUUUUUAUCCAAAAUAUUAUCAUCAAAAUUCAUCCAGAAGAAAUGAGGGAUGAUUGCUCUAAAGAAAAAUAAGCAUCCAAUGAGAUGCAAAAAUUGCAGCACUGAAGUCACAGUUUUUUCAGCUAUUAAAAAUUUUUUCCAAACAGCAAACUCCCAAACUAAAAUUGAUACUCGAAGCAAAAUUAACCUUGGACUAUAAAAAACACCUUGAGUAAGUAUUUAUUCAAGAGCCAGCACAUUUGUUGUUCUAAAUUUUGUAUGGAACAAGACAUAUUCUAUAUUCCCAAACCAAAGCAGCCUAACCACAACGUGCGUCCGUCCAGUGAUCCAGCAGCCAGCUGAACAAAGUCCACGUGUCAUCAUAUCAGCCACGGAGAUCUCACGGACCGGAAGCCGCGGUUUAGCUGCACACGCUACAAGCCUCCGUUAUCCGCUGCUGAUGGUCGAUGGACAAGAAGAACCCCCCGCCACUCCCAACGGACCCCAUAAUCGUGCGGUCCAGAGCGCGAUGCUUUAUAUCCCAUACGUCCUCGCGGAUUAACUUAUCUAGCACCUGAACGAUAAAACGGUGGGAAAAUUAAAACGAAACGUUUUAUUUUUUUAUUUUUUUAAAAAAAAACGAGGAAAUGGCCCCCACGAUCUCUUUUGUCUCUCCAGCCCUCCACCCAAAGGCCGAAGCCCUCCCCUUCUCUUCUCUUCCUCCUCCUCCUAGUGGUAGCGGUAGCGGCAGCUAUAGAUCGAGAGGAAAUCUCUUAUUUUCUCCUUCUAAAUCAAAGCAUUCCAUCUCCAUCUCUCGCUUAGCUUCGAAUCCGCCUCCGUCGACACCGGAGAAGCCGCCUGAGAUCGAGCUCGAAUUCGUCGGGGUAACGUCCCAUAUCUUGUUUGUUUUUUCUCUUCAUCCAAAGGCCUCUCGAAUUCCUUCUUUUAUAUUGUUAUGAAUUAGAAGGGUAUAAGUUUUGUUUGGUGCUGGCAGCCGAAAGCGGGAGAGGAUGGGUCAUAUCCGGUGGACAGGGCUUCCGCGAUCAGUGGAGAGAAGCUUCUUCGCAACAUUAUGCUCGACAACAAGAUCGAGCUCUACGCCGCAUACGUAACGCCCAUCAGCCCAACCUUUUCUCUUCCUAGUAACUUUCCUUCUCAAGAUAAUCUUAUUUUAUGAUGGUUUUCAGCCAUGGAUGGCUGGUUUUGAUGUCCUUUUAAUAUAGGCUUUCGAAAUAUGCCCUUGUUCGGUGCCAGCUUUUCAAGCUGGCUGCUCCCCCACGCUGUGUAGCUCACCAGGAAUAAAUUUUAAUCAGCAGGAAGAAGGGAGGAAUUAUUAUUCCUGUUAAACCUGCUUAUUCGUGGAAUAACUAUCCAUAUGGAUGGCUGGAAUAAUUUUAUUCCUUUAUUGCGUUUUUCUUUUUAUAGAGACAAAAAUAGCUUCAUCAGCCAUAGCUAUGCCAGCCAGAAAUGAAAGCCAUAAAAGAAAAAUCUUGUCUAACACGAAAGGAAAAAAAACUCCUGUUUCACUUUUUACCGUGCAUGAAUCCGUUACAGCAUAUCGUUCUAAAGAAUAUGAUUGCCAUAUAAUUCCCAUGCCUCAGAGGACUAUCUCAUUGAAGUUUUAAUGAAGGGCUGCAUAAAAUGAAACAGGGGAAAGUAAUGAACUGUGGAGGAGGUGGAAGCUGUGGAACAUGCAUUGUGGAGGUACAUUUGCUUACUUUGGUCCUUUCAAUAUUCUGUUGCGAAGUUAUCUUAACAUCCUAAUGCCUUACAUGGAACAGAACUCUUGAGCUAAUGUUAUUGUUAUGAAAAUUAGAAUCAAAACUAGAACAGAUAGGCAAGUUGUAGAUUUUGCUUAAAUGUGUGUAAUUCAGAUCUGACCAGGAAUAAGAUAGGAAUAACUAUUCCAUUUGAACCUUCUGUUUUGUAAAACUACUAUUUCAAGGGAAGGUUGGCAUAACUUUAUGUCUGGAAUAAGGCCGUCUUUCUGUCCUAUACUUGUUUCUUCUUGACAAAAAUAUCCUCAGCCUAGAUUUAUUCCUAUCCAAGUAAAAAAUAGGAAUAACUUGCGGAAAAACUACUCCAGAACGGAUAACUAUCCCGUUUCAAUUUUCUUAUCCCUAAACCAAACUCCACCUAAGUUCCAUCCUUAGGACAGAAGACAUCUUUUUCUUGCAGGAGCACAUGAUAGUAACUAUAGCUGAGGUCAUUGUUCAAUGAAAUCUGUAUGAGAAGAGAAACACUAUGGUUGAACACAAAAAUAAGUUUUAAGCCUAUUCCCAUUUGCUUAGAUUGGAGUUGAGAAUUGAUAUCUCCCAAAAGAUAUUUUACAGGGCAAUAUCAUAUGCCCGCCAAAGCGAGAGUUCAAACUAGAUCUUCUUUGGUCCGAUGACUCUGGCCCACCUUCCUUGGACCAUUUGACCUUAAUCUAAGGCCAAGUUUCUACCUUACAGGUCUGCAUUUAGCUUUUGAUUGUCUGAAAGUACUUGUGUAUUUCUGCUUUCCCUGGAAUUGACUGUCAAACAGAAGUUGCAUGACACUUUUUGGAACCUAUUGAUGUCAAUUUCGCAGAUUAUUGAUGGCAUGGAACUUCUGAAUGAGAAAACUGACACCGAAAAACGGUACUUGAAAAAGGCAUGCUACUGCACCAUGCUUGAGUUGUUAACUGCUUUUCCAUUCAAUAUUUGAACCAUCAGAAGUUUCUCAAUAGUUUCUGCUGUGUAGUCAUUUUAACAUACAAUUAUGUUUUUGAUUUUUUUUUCUUUUUCCAAAACAAUUACAGAAACCUGAAUCUUGGAGGCUCGCUUGUCAAACUAUUGUUGGAAAUAAGGAAAAUGCUGGGAAGGUAUCCUGUGGUCACCUAUUAUCUUUCACUUUUUAGUGUUUGGAGUGGAUCUUUGCUAUUAGCUGCAAUUGCUAGUACUCACUAACAGCUUGGCAUUUCUUAGCUCUAUUCAAUCAUAUUCUGUCGUUAGUAGCAGCCUAGCAGGCGGUACACCUUUGGUAGAAAUAAUCUUUAUUUAAUUAAGUGUAGCAUAUAUUAUUUUUUCAGUUAAAAAAAAAAGAACUAAGGAUAACACAAAUAUGGGCAACAGGUCUUAUUUAAUCCAUCUGGACAUUGGAAUUGCACGAGAAAGAAAAGACUAGAUGCCUGUUUUUCAUCUUCUCCUGUUUCAUUAGUGUGAGAAAAGAAAAUAAACAUCUGGUUGUCCUUUUCCAUGAGUUUCGUAGCUAACCUCGAUGGAUGGCAUUUUUCCUUUACUGCAUCUUGCAGUGAAAUCUGUUCAUUUUGUUUGCAACAAAAUAGAUUCGGAAAAGUGAUUCCUAUCUAGUUAUUAAAAAAGGCCCCUUCCUUUUAUCUAUUUGAGUAAGCAGAAUAUACACUCGUUCACCUAGCCUGUUCAGUGCUAUCUCCAUAAUCAGUGACCACCAAAUAUACGGAUUUCUAUCUGUACCCUGCUUUUUUUUGAAAAAAAUGGCAAAUCACCCACUAAAAGAAGGAAAUCCUUUUUCAAAUGUUCCUUACUUGAUUUACAAUGAUCUGGUUGCAAAUUUAGGAUAGGAGAUCGAUGCAUCUGGUUUUCUUAUUAGAAUAUAUCUACCUUAGUUUUUUUCCAAGCUAAAACAUAUGAACAUCCCUAGAGUACUGUCUGCAUUUUGAAAUCACAGAAAUGUUACUUUAUUUUUGAUUCAGGAACCUGACCAUAAAUGGAAAUUCUAUUUUAUGGUUUCAAAGAUUUAGCUGAAAAGUAAUGUCAUUCUGCAAACAGUACAGAUUUUAGCACUAAGAAUUUAAGCAACAAGAAACUUUUCUUUUCUGUUCUUUCCUUUUUCUUAGUGUGUUGCCCAUAAGAAGUUCAAACUAAGGUGCUGAUGGCAUGCAUUGACUCACAAAGGAAUAUGAAACUAGACAUGGAAUAAUUUUACAAGUUUUAGUCAGUCUAUACAAAGAUCUUGUUCUCAAAACAGAACUAUAUAUAUAUAUAUGUGUGUGUGUGUGUGUGUGUGUGUGUAGUGUGCUACGUUUCCUGCUGAUAGUAAAAUAAAAGAACAAGAACAAGAAAAGAAAAGAAANNNNNNNNNNNNNNNNNNNNGAACUAUAUAUAUAUAUAUGUGUGUGUGUGUGUGUGUGUGUGUGUAGUGUGCAGUUUCCUGCUGAUGUAAAUAAAAGAACAGAACAAGAAAGAAAAGAAAACUAACGUGUGUCCUGUCCUGCAAGCCAAUCUAUUUUUGUAAUUGUGAAAUCUGCAAUGCCUUUCACCAUCUCAAAUAUUAACAAGUAAACCCAUCUAUCCUCCCUCUAGGUUAUUGUUCAGCGGAUGCCCCAGUGGAAGAAGUGAUCUGCAAUUCCUUUCAAAUUUUGUAAGAUGAUUACUCCACAACUUUUAAGUUUGUAAUGUCCUCCUGGAGUUUGCAAUAUCAAAUUUUGUGGUGAAAUAUAAAUUGAUAUCCUAUUGAGCAUCACGUCUUGAAUAGAAGAUUGUAUUGAAGAAAAAGAAUUUCAUUGAUAUAAUGAGAAUCGUUCAGCAAACUUGCGGAACAAUAUGAAUGGAUUCUCUACUAACCAAAUUCAAAAUGAUGCAUUUUGUAUUCGGUAGAGGAAGACCAUCGGCACUCUUUACCCCUCAUAGAUAUCUUCAGCUUGAGGUUGGGAUCUCUUCAGCAUUAGAUGGAUGCACUUGGUUCUUGAUCUUGAUCCAACUCCAACCAGGUACAUUGCCCUCAACUCCUCAUCACCCUCUGAAUAGUUCCUCUGUCAUGCUACACCCCAAAACGAGAAAGCAUGUCUGAAAGAACAUAAAUUGAAUGCUCUCUAGGAUCUAAUGCCAUCUAGCGCUUGGCUACAUAGGUUGCCAGUUCCUUAUCACCAUGAAUUCUGCAUGCACUCAAUAGGGUCAUCCAUCCCAUUUUAUCUGGUUUAAAGGGCAUUGACUUGAUUUGCUUCUUUGCUUCAUCAAGCUGCCCAGCUUUAACAGACCCGGUUUUUCUUUAAAUUAAAAAAAGGAUAUCCUGCCGCUUCUCAGGAACCAAUAAGAUCUUUUUUCACGGGGUAGCAUUUACCGAAGAAGGUUGAUUUAAAGCCACAAUCUACCCCAACCUAAAUCGGCAUAGACACAUGAAUAAACAAAGGCUUCAGGCUUGCUGGAAUUCCUUUUCCCCGAUUGUAGACCUCAUUCCCCUCUUCUUUCUAUGUCUCUACUUGAGGAAGAACCUCCGACUCAAGAUCCAUGCCUAGUUUUCUUCCUAGGAUCUCCACCUUCAUAUGUUCUUCCCUUCUUGUCUGUCCCCUAUCCUUUGAUAAUCUGUUGCUUCUGGAGUUUUUUCCAUCUUCACCCUGGAAUUCUUUACCUCGAGAUGAUUUCUUUCUCCUCGCUGCUUCCCCCUCCUAAUAAAGGUGAGAUUGAAGCUCAAUCAGCAAAGACACAAUUUCUAGAGAGCAUUCCUUGGAAUCGAGACUUUUUAUCCAUUUCCAUUAAUAUAGCUUUCUCGUGAGCUCUUUAUUCUCAACCUCACGUGCAUAAUUUUCCAUCCACAAAUGAAUUCCAUAGAAUGGUUCCAUUGAUCAGGCUGCCCAACUAAACCGAUGUCACUACAGCCAAAUUUAUAGCCAUGAAAAAGCUAUGUGAUCUGGUGCAACCUCUCAUUCUUGCAUCUCAUAGAAGAGAUCUAGUGCCAUGUGCCCUUGUCUAUGUUAAGCAUACCCAAAAAUGAUUGAGUUCCAUGUCACAGAGUUAUCCUUGCGUGGCUCAUCGAAGGACCUUCUCGCAUCAUCAAUGACCCUGCACUUGGAACAUGUAUAAAUCAAUGAGCUAGCAAUGUAAUCGUUUGAUCCAAUACAGACUUGAAGACUAAACCAUUUGAUCCGAUGCAGACUUGGAGACUAAACCAAGGAUGUACCGACCCAAUAGAAGGACUGCCAAGUCAGAGCGAGAUCUUAGGCUGAGAAUGCAUAGUGAUCGAUCUUGAAACAUGAUCACAUAUGACCAAAGAACUUGAAUGCUUCCUUGCUUAAACCAUUCUGAGAAAAUCCAAUAAGAAUCGAAUUCCUCAAGACAGUCUCUAAACUCCGCUGAAUCAAAGCAUUUCAUGGCAUCCUCCAUUGAACCAUUCUCGCAGCAUCUAAUGUACAUGGCAAUCAACAUGAGAAACAGGAAUCUUACUUUCCAACCCCCUCUUGAUCACUGGGCCAUGCAAGACUCUCCCUUGUUGACCAUGCUCGAAACGAGCAUCUAUCACACUCCAGCUUCUUGCACGCUAACAAACAGCUCGGUCGCAUGAUUCAUGAAGCCAUACCUAGCAGUCUGCAAACAGAGAAUUCCAUGUCGCCAAGAUUUGAUCUCCUCCGGCGGUCGGUAUUGCUUCAUCUCCGCCGGUGGGGGGUUUCUCUCUUUUUUUUUUAAUUCAAAUUUAAAAUUUAAAUUUCGGUGUUGACGAUGAGUUUUUUUAAAAAAAUCUUUUCUAUUCUCUAUUUUCUUAUAAUAAAUUUGGGUUGGUUUUUUCACUUCCUUUACAUCAAAAAAAGAAAAAAAGACUUUAAAUAAUCCCUCCAUCCUAUCAAAAUGCUUUCUUGAAACUGCUAUCAGACCCACAUUGCAAAAUACCGUGAUUGCUGCACUCUACACAACUGCAUCUCUUUCUCAACCAUACAUAAUCUUAACAUGCAAGUGAAGCAUCAACUGAUAAUGAGGAGCUAUGUCGAGUAAUGUUAGUAGGCUGGCAAAGGGUGGCCUCGCUGGACAUUAGACCCUCUCUUUCCAUCCAGUCGGAAAAAAGGGCAUACUCUGCCUCAUCUGCUUCGGGGUACCCUGCAGUCAAGGCAUUUCAUGACACCGUGUUUGGCUCUGGCAUAACCUCGAAAACUAAAUAAGCUUCUCCUAUCCUUCCACAUUUCGCAUACAUAACAAUGAAUGCGCCCCCCAAGUACAAAUUGCAGUCAAGGUCUAACUUUACGAUGAGGGAGACCAAUUGGUGGCCCAAUUAGAAUUUGCCAGUGGAGGCAAUUGACUGAGGAUGAUCCCAAGGGUGUACUGAUUGAAGGCGAGGCCCUUCACCGUUUGUGUUUAGAUCCUUGACUGUACGCGCCUGAUGAGACGUUGGCGGCGAUCAGGGCGUUCCAGGAGACUAUGUCUCGCUUCGGAAUUUCGUCGAACAGCUUGCGAACUCUUGAGGGGCCGUUGCGAUUUUGGAAAGCGGGCGCAGGUUGUCGCUGCGGAGCCCAAAGCUAGUCCGGUCCAAGUUAUUGUAGACCCAGGGAAGGUCGCGGUCUAUAAAUCCAUGAUAACCGGAUCGAUGCCCUUUGCUAAGGUCACUAGAGUCGUGCGUUGCCAUUGAGGAGGAAUCCAUGUGAUUUGUUUAUAAGAUGGAAUAUAUUAAGAUUGCCAUGAUCUUAUUAAUCAAGACAAUUUGAUAAAUACAUUUAAUUUCUAAGUAAUCGCGUACACUUGCCUUCUUUUCUUUUUUAAUCAUUCUAAAAUAGAUAUUUUAAAAAGGUAUUUUUUGGUACCUGGAUAAAAGGAAGUCUUGUCGAAAUUAGGCUAUAGGUGACAACAAAUCUAGACUGUUGGCAUCUAACACCCACUAAUUCAACCGUUUGAAUCUCUUGGUUGACAACAACAUUUCUGCUAUGUGUUUAGUUAUCUAUUAUUUCUCAAAACAUAAGUAAGAUGCAAAAGUUUGGAAUUUAUACAAAGACUUUUUAUGAGACAUUUAUCUUUUUUAGGAGUUUUAUAUGCAGUAAUUUUUUUUCUUUUUUUACUAAUUUAGGGUUUGAACUAGUACUGACGCUCAAAUGUUGGGUUGAAUACAAACUUAGCAUGAGAAAUUUUCAUGUAAAUCCAAAUUCUACAUCCAUAGACAUGCAAUUCAUUCUAGCACCAAAAUAAGUCAAAAUUAAAAUGAGAGACUUUUAUGGAAUAAUAUAUAUCUCCAAAAAGGGUUCAUAACGCAACAUUUUCUUUCAAGCAUGAACUCGUCCCGACAAGCAAAGCGCCGGACCCAGUUCAAAUUUGUAUAAGGGGAUAAUUUCAUUCAAUCCCCUUUUUGCAACUAUUAUUUCAAAGCUUUAGUGACAGAUGAAAAGGGUUUUGCGGUGGUACUUCUUUAUAUUAUUUUUUAAAAAAAUUAUGUAUAUAUUUUUUUAAAUAUUAAUAUAUAUAUAUAUUCUUUCAAAAUUUAUAUUUACAUGUAUACUAUUAUAAAAUAUUUAUUUUACAUACAUAUUUUUUUUUCUUGCAUACAUACCCACACUAUUUAAUGUCAUUAAGAAAUUAACAACUUAAAGUUUAAAUGAUUGAAAUACUUUUAAUACAUAAAUAUAUAAAAAAAAUAUUUAUAAGGAUAUACUUGUAAAUAAUUGCUUUGCGAGGAUAUUCAUAUGACUUUACAUAUGCAGGAGGGUUCGUAUAAAAAAUUCUAAUUUUAUUUUUUUAUUUUAACUUAUUUUAAUACUCAGAUUAGUCCAAUACUUGCUCCUCAAUGUUUUCUAUAAAAAUAUUGCUAAAAAAAAAAAGAUAAAUUUGAUGAUUAGAUAAUAAAAAAUAUUAAAAAUUUUUUACUAAUCAAGAGACUAUUCCAUUUUAUUCUUCUUUCAUUCAUGAUGACAAUUAUAUCUUAUUUUAUUAAAAAUCAGCUUGUAAUAUUUUUUGUCAUAGAUGCAUAUAUAAAGACAUGUAUUAGAAUAUAGAAGGGAUUAGAAUCUUUUAAAGAUAUAUGAUAUAUUCCAAUGAUCAAGCUUUGUUGCUAUUAUUGUGCUUAUGUAUAGAAGAACAACAUCAAUCAUUCAAGAGCAAAACCAUUUAGGACUUUAGAAACCUUAUAACUUCUGUAGCCAUAUGGUAAAAGGCCAUACCUUACAUUAGAUAUCUUAAGCUAUUAUUUUUAGAGUUCUGAUCUUCCCGAAGAAGGAAAGAUCUAAUACAUGGGAACCAUCAUUUCACAUUGAUUUUAAAUUAAUCGUUUGUCCGCACAUGAGAAGUUUUCUAACUCAAAAAAAUAAAUAUUGCAAAUCUCACACACAAAAAGGUAAACGUUGUCAAUCUCUCACAACAUUUUUUUUAAAAUAAUAUCUAAAGAUAAGAUCUGACUUUCUUCAUGUAAAAAGAGAAACAAUGAAGGGAGAACUUAGGCGGCGGACUUAGAUUUCGAUGGCGAAUGGAAGAAAGGGAGAAGGGAGAGUGAUCACAUGGGAACAGGGAAAGUUCAAUAGAUUAAAUAAGUUUCCAGCAAAAUUUACUUAUUUUAAGGGUAAAAAGAUAAUUUUAUAAUUUAAAUUAUUUUAAUUUAAAUAAAUAUGAUUUUAGCUAAUGAUAUUAAUUGAAUUAUUAUGUUGGAUGUAUUCAUAUAAAAAUAAUAUUUUGUAAAAGCAUGCAUACAAAUAUCAAUUUAGAAGGAUAUUUAUAUAAAUUUCAGUAGUAUUUUGUAAAAGCAUGCAUGCAAAACCCAUUCGGUACUCUAAGGGUAUUUUAGUUUUUUUAUUUUUUUAUAUAUUUUUGAUCAUCAGAUUAAAUAUGGAUCAUACAAAUUUUAAGCGGAUGAAGGGCCAUAUGCAUAGCUGGUGCAGUAAAUAUUUCAAAAGUUAGGGUUGUUUUGAUAUCGUAAAAGUUGAUUUUUUUCUUGAUUGCCAUCUUAGAAGGCAGGAGAAAAUAUUCGUUGCAAUAGUGAUACCACGUCCCGUUGUAAGUUGUAACAAACCAAUAAAAAGUUGGAAAUGGGUGAAAUAUGAGGAUAGUGUGGGAUAUUAUCCAUGAAAAUCAAUGCAACACAUGACAAUCCAUCAAAUAUAAAUGUUUUCAUUGGUUAGUUACAAAUUUGACAUGGUAUCACCAUUGCAAUAAAUAUUUUUUUAAAAGGCGGAGAGCUGGGAGAGGUGGUGGUGGAGGUGGAGGAUCUCUGGCGGAGGUGCACCGGAGGCACUGUGGGCGAAGGUAGAAAAGCUGAUAAAAGGAGAAAGAAGAAUCCUAUGAAGAAAAAUGAUAGGAAAGCCAUUCAGAAUCUGUCAAACCGUACCAUUUCAAUUGAAGGAGAAGGAGAAAAGGAAAAGGAAAAAAGGAAAAGAGAAACAAAUCACUUAGCUCCGAGGACUGGUGGGCGGAGGACCCAUCGAGGGUUGCGAGGGCAUCGUGGGUGAGGGAGGGGGGCACAGUAGCGAAGCCACGUGGGCAAGGGAGCACCGAUCAGGUGGAGGACCUGCCAGGGGGUGGUGGGGGUGCCAUUGGGGGAGGGGGGGCACGGUGGCGGAGCCGUGCUGGUGGAGCACUGGUCAGACGGGAGAAGGGUUGGCGGCACGAGCAGGAAGGCACGGUCCACAUAAGUAUGCAGGGGUGUGCAGGGUGGUGGGGCACAUGCGUCGGUGGGCGGGUGGGAUGGGAGAAAAGGGAGGGAAGAUCGCACGGGGGAUGGGGGGCUCGUAGGGGGAUGGGGUGGCUGCGGUGGAGAAGAAGAAGAAAGUCGUGGGAGGGAGGUGUCAGUGGCUCAGGCGUCAAUGGGGGGGGGUUGCUGCGGCACGAACAGGGAAGCGGCGUCGGUCGCAAGAAGAGGGGCAGCACGGGCAGGAGGGGUGGGGCACGAGCAUGGGGGGAAGAUCGUCGAAAAGGGGUAAGGAGAGGGGGAAGUGGCACAGGGAUGAAGCAGGUGGAAAAAAAAUAAAUAUUUAAAAUAUUUUUUAUAAUAAAAUAUUAUAAAAAAAUAUCGUUGCAAAAUUUAAAUCUGUAUAUAUAAAUGUUAAUUUAAAAAAAAAUAUUUAUGUAAAUUCAGAUAUGUAUGUUUCUUUUUUUUAAGGUUAAUUGCACAGAAAGGGGGCAAACCGGUAAUUGGACGGAGCUGGAUCCUGGACAGCAUCACUCGCAUGCUGCAGCCAAUAACGCGCCUCUGCACGGAUAGAGGAGCUCUUGCGGGUUCCGUUGCUUCGGGUCUCUGCUCACCGCCAGUGUCGGGAUGAGGGUUCUGAGCGCGCUAUCCCACCCUUCGCCACGGCCGACGGCCGCCCUCUCUCCUUCCCAUGGAUUCCGUUCCUCCUCCCAUUCUUCUUCUUCUUCGUCGUCGUCGUCGUCGUAUCCCCGUCAUCUUAUCUCAUCUCUCCACAAGAACUCGGCUUUCUGCCUUCGAGGCCUCGAUCCUAAACCAGGUCAGAAACGAACCCCUCUUCCAAUACAAGAAGAGAUUUGCUCAAAAGAGAUUUUUCCCCCUUCCUUCCCCAAGAAACUGCUAUGAAUCUUUUAGUGAGAAUUAUUAUUUAGGCUUUUAGUUUUAUCUUUCUUCGUUUUUAUAAAAUCGGGUGUUUUUAUCUUUUGUUAUGUUGCCUUAUCGCCGAUGCUUGCAUAUGAAUUUCUGCAGAUCUAACGAUCAAUAGGGCUUCUAUCUUAUUGUUAAUCCUGCUUCUUUUCUUUUCUUUUUUCCCUUCUGGUCAUUUCAUCUUUUUAUUUUGAGAAGAUCUUUUUUCUUUGUUGUUUUUGGGAAGGUUUCGUGGAUCGAAAUUGCAAUAUUUAUAAAUGAUAGGCUUAAAUUGAUGCUCAGAAAAUGCUUUCGGAUAUAUAUUUGUGGAGAUCUAAGCUUUCUAUAAUUUGUUAAUUAGCUUUGUGUGCUUUUGGUCACAAUGGUUGUGUCAAUAGAUUGCUAGACGGUUAUUCUGCUUCGUUUGGUUCGGUACAAAUUCGAUUAUAGUGCCAAUGAAUCGAAACUUUAUUUAGAAUUCUGAGCUAAAACAUUUUCCUUUUUCUGUGUGGUAGUUUUUCUCUCUACCACCUACAGGUACUGCGUCAGCAUUGCAAGCAAUAGCCAAGGACCUGCCAAAUUAUAUUCAGCAUUUCCUACAUCUCCUGCCCUUGUUUCCUCUGUUAAUGAUCUCUUUGAGUUCAUAUGCUCGGGUCCUCUGAUAAAAAAAUUGGGCUUUACUGCUGAGACUGUAGCUGAGUCCAUCGACAGGUGGUUACAGUGUGGUUUUCACUUGUGUCAACUGUUCCGGUUGAACGACCUUAAUUUGUCAGUUCCUGAGAAGGCCAGAAUAUAUCAUUUCUACAUUCCAGUGUUCCUCUGGUGCGAAGACCAGCUUUUGCGUCAUAGGUCCAACUUUAAUGAUGGAGAUGAGAUCCCACCUCUAGUGGUACGUGUAUUAUUAUAGCCUGGUAGUAGCUUCUAUCGUCCCUACUCAUUUAGUAAAUCUAUGUUUAAUGAGUUUUCUUCAACUUCAUUUCCUUGUUUGAGAUUCGAUCCUUGAGCGGGACACAAUACUUUUGUGAACAAGAUAUUGAUUUUGUGAUAUCUAAUAUAACUUUACGGGGAGUUUUUUGAGUAGUUGUAUUAAUGAAUAUAAAGGAAAAGGAAGAAUUUACGACCUUUUGCUCAAAGUUUGAGACUGGGUUACGAAAUAAUAUUGACUUUCUAUGCUUUGCAGAUUGGUGUUAGUGCUCCUCAAGGCAGUGGAAAAACAACUCUAGUUUUUGCUCUUGAGUCUCUUUUCCGGCGAUCUGAUAGGUAUGGUUGCUAGAUUUUUGAUAAUGAAGUUUCAGAAAUUUAAUCUACUUGCUGAUGAUACUUUCUGUAUAUGACAACACUAGUGUUCUUUAUUGAUUCACAAAUAUGAUGGUCUGUUUUUGUUAAAUAUCUCCCAGGAGUGCUGCAACCUUAUCAAUAGAUGAUUUUUAUUUGACAGCGGAGGACCAGGUAGAGAUAUAGAGAUUUAGCACAGUGGUUGCCCUCUUGUUUAUUUUUCUUCAUGUUCUGAUGAAUGGAUAUUUUAUUUCAGGCUGAACUGAGGAGACAAAAUCCUGGAAAUGCUCUCUUGGAGGUGCUGAAAAUAUUCACUGAGUGUAUACUACAGUAAUUGAACAAUCUAUGAUUCAGCUGUGAUGUCAUAAAUCUCCCAAAUUUGGAAGCUCUUCGUUUAUGGAAGUUUGAUUGCAAUGAACAUUUUGUGAAUAUCGUCUGUUCACACAUUUCAGUUUCGUGGGAAUGCGGGAAGCCAUGACCUGCAAUUCUCAAUUGAUACACUCACAUCUUUAAGCAAGCUUACAAAAAAAGGUAUGAUCUUUCAUUGAAUCGCCAACUGUUUCUCUGUAUGUCUAAUUUGUGUUUUCAGUCGACCAACAUCAGCAAUUUGGAUGUUAUGCUUUAUUAUAAAGUGGAAGAAUGGAAUAUUUUUUCUUUAUAUAUAAUUGAAAGAUUUUUCAAGUGGAAUGGAAAUGAUGAUCCAUAAUAUGUCAAAACCAUUUAGGUAUGAAGAUGAAGCUUCCACGGUACGAUAAGGUGUGCUCAAAACAUAAGCCUUCAUAUAUUUCACUUGCAGAAUGUUGGGUUUUCAUGCUAGACUUCAUCUAUGUAUUUAGUCUGCUAAUGGAGGGAGAGGUGAUAGAGCUGACCCUUCAACAUGGCCAGAAGUUGAAGGGCCCAUAGAGGUAAAGCAACUUUCAAUUGUAGAUUAAUCGUAUCAAGUCAGUAACCUUGACACCACCCAAAAAAGAAAAAGAAAGGAAAAAAAUUAUCAUUGUUAAGGAGUUUCCACCAAGUUAUUCUCAUUGGUAUUUUUUGUGCUCUGGUCAUUUAGGUUGUUUUGUUUGAAGGUUGGAUGCUUGGGUUCAAACCUCUUCCAAAUGAAGAUGUGAAAGCAGUUGAUCCACAGGCAAGUUCUUAUCCAAAAAUAAACAAAUAAAUAAAUAAAAAUUGCCCGGUUAAUUUUAAAUAAUUUUUAACUGUGAUAACAUCCUUAUUCUCCAGCUUGAAGUGGUAAAUAAAAAUCUCGAAGCCUACUUUGAUGCAUGGGACAAGUUUGUUGAGGCAUGGAUUAUUAUCAAGAUUAAGGAUCCCAAAUGUGUAUACCAAUGGCGCUUGCAGGUUAACAUCAUAAUGUGAUGAUAUAGAAGCAGUUUAUAUCAUUAUAUAAAUAGCAUAUAUGCCCUUUGUAACUCGAACAUUCAAUUGUAGCAAUUCUGAUCAGCAUAAUAUGUAUCUUUCUUGUGGAAUUUCAGGCAGAGGUGGCCAUGAGGGAAGAUGGAAAACCUGGCAUGUCUGAUGAAGAGGUGUUGCAGUCAUUCAUCUCUAUCAUCCACCACGUUUCUUUAUAACCUCAUAAUAUAUUCCAUAGCCCAAACAUAAUGUUGCUUAAGAAUUUUGGUUAAAAUUUAGUUUUAAUUGAUUGAGAUAUUACUUAUCUGUGAAUUGGCUGUGAUGCCAUCCUUGAGUCUAUUAUAUGAAUUAUACAGCAUGUAUACGUUAUAUGCUGAGUAGUUGCUAAUAUAAUUAUGCCACACGUAGCUGAAAGCGUUGCCAUUAAUUCAAAAUAUGUCUGUCCGCUCCUCCAGAAGGACGGUUGUUUUCAAACUGUGUUUUUUGAGUGUUUUCCAAGGAAUGUGCUUCCAUUUUUAGAUGAACUUGAUUGUAGUCCUUGUCCUCAUUGGGUUUGCGUCUUCUAAACAAGCUAUGACAUGCACACCACCUGUUCCUUGUGUCAGUUUUCAUUGUAUAAAAUUCUGUCAUAUUUAUGAAAGCGAAAUUCCUGCAGGUUUUGGAUUUUGUAUCACGGUAUCUGCCAGCAUACCAGGCCUACCUUCCACCACUCUACUCUGAAGGACCAAAGGAGCUGGAUCCAGAUCGCCUUUUAGUUAUCGAGAUUGACGAAGAGAGGAAUCUUAUCGCCAAGUGAUCUAUGUUGGAGGACUGUAUGACUUCAGUUUCGUCUUUCAGUGGGUGUAAAGAAUAAAUUCUUGUUUUGAUAUUUUUGUACAUGUUCAUCAAAAAAAGGAAUGUGUCAUAAUUAUUCAUUCCGUAUCAUCUUCGAUCAUUUACUUCUGAUUUUUUUUACUUAUGUUUAUACUAUAAAUUAUUUCCUAUUGCAAGUGAAGCGAAUUUAGGAGAUUGCUAUAUUGUUAUGAUAGUUGAGAUGUACAGUGUGUGAAAAAGAAGUAUUUAAGGAAGAAUAGCUUUCAACGUUACAGGUUCCUCUGUUCAAUUUUUCAAUAUUUUAAUUUUCAGGGAUCUCUCUCUCUGUGUAUAUAUAUAGAGGCAUCAGCCUCCAUUCAUUGUUUCAUUGUAUAUUCAUUUUCUUCGUUUGACACGUGUACAGGGGUUUUAUGGAGGAGUUUCGAUUUUCGAUAGAGUUUGAGGAGGCAUCUGCUCUUUGAUAAAGCGUGAGGUAUCUUCUCUCUCUCUUCUUUUUUUUUCUUUUUUUUUUUUCCGACCCUUUUGCUUCUCAUUUUUUUUUGUUAUCUUUCUCAUCCCCUCUCUCCCUGGUCAAGAUCGAUAUGAUCAGAGUUUGGAUGAUCGCCUUCUCUCCGCCCGCAAAGAUCGAAAGCAUGUUUGCUUCAGCCCCAUGGUCGUCGCUUGAGAUAGGGGCAUCGAUGGCGGUGUAGUCAGUAAAAGUUGCUGCAGGGGUGAUUUUGUUGACAAGGAUGGAGUUCGGAGAGAGGCUCGAGAGGACGUCGAUGGCAGGAUCGAGGGUGAUAUGGUGAACAUCGGCAAUGUAGUCGAUGAUGAGAGAGAUGACGUUGCUGGCACGAGCGACGGUGAGGAGGGAUUUGGCAUGGUGGGUACCAUGAUCGAUAAGAGGCUGGGCCUUGGAAGCGGUUUGGUAGAAAACGAUGAGGGAGUAGCUGGUCAAGAGUAGGUGGGCAGUUAUGAACUAGCCCGUGACAUCGAUUCGGGUGGUGGUCGAGGUUAUGGGUCGGUUUGAGGAGAUGGUCAACAUAGGAGAGAGCAAGGGGACGAUCAGGCGGUGGUGAAGGAGAUAAAGGUGGUCAGAUCGAUGCAGGAGGGAUGGGAGGCGAAUGAGCAUUGAAAAAGUUAUCAAUCAUUGGAUCGAAGUCCCUUGGUCGUGCUGUCGUGGUUUGCUCUUCUGGCCAUAGUGCCACUAGCCAAGGGACAUUCCCCUACUUUGAAAUAAGAGUGAUGGAUCUUCUGUUCUAUGAAAGAAGAGAGGAAGAAAAAGAAAGAAAGAAAAAAUAAAAAAAAAAAAAAAAAGAAAGAAAAAAGAAAAGAAGGAUUUCAGGAGAUUCUUGAUUAUAAGGUAAUAAUGAAGAUUUUUUAUUAUUGUUAAGAAAAAGGGAGAAUAAAAAGAAAGAAAAAAAGAAAUUUUUUUUUAAAAGUUUAGAUUUUNNNNNNNNNNNNNNNNNNNNAAAGUUUAGAUUUUUAAAUUUUUAAUAUCGAAAAAAGAGAAAAAUUUCUUCUCGAUUUCUAAAGUUUAAAUCUUUCACGAGCUAUCAGUUGGAGGCAUAGUUAUCAAUUGAUUUUUGAUCGAUAUCUCAGAAGACUGUCAUCUGUCAAUAUAUUGGUAUAUUUUUGCUCUGUUUCAAGUUUGAAGAUGCUGCUACUAUCUAUGGCCGAUGGGCAAUAUUGUCGGUUUUACUAUUUGGAGAGUUGAGAGGUGUGUAAGGAGAUGAUCAAAAAAAAAGAAAAGAGAGAUAGAAAUGUUUAAAAAUAAUUAAAUAUAAAAAUAGUAAAAAAUGAUGGGUUUGUGAAGGGGAUUCACAAGAUCAAGGUCAUCUAUCGUCACAAGAUUUAUCUAAUAAUUUAUAAUCUAUAUUAUGCAUAAAAUAUAAUAUUUAUUAUUUUAAUUAUUUUUAAAUAUAUAUAAAAUAAUAUAAUAGAUAAAUAAAAUAAAAUAUAUUUUUUUAAAAUUAUAUUCCAUACAUUGUAAAGGGUUAUAACUAGUUUAUAUUUAGUUUGAUUUAAUACAUCCAUUUUACCAAAAAAAUUAAAGAUAAUAAUAAUAAAAAGGAGAGAAUAAAUUUGCCCCUGGAAGCAAACAAGGAAAUCCUCCGGUAGGGAUGAAAAUAGUAUGGAUAUUAUCUGUCUGGAUCUAUUUUCGUAUCUGAAUUAAUCUGAAUAUGGACAGAAAUUUAAGGAUCUGAUUAAUAUCCAUAUCUGUAUUUGUCAAACAAAAAUAGAUAUGAAUAUGGAUAGGCAACUAUUCGAAUAUCCGAAUCUAUAUAUAAUCUUAUAUAAUUUUAUAUAGUAUUUAUUAAUUUUUUUUAAAAAAAUAUGAUCAUAUAAAUAUAUUAUUAACUUAAUUUAUCAUUUUUUAAUAAUAUUUUUUAUUUUAUAGUCAUAAAAUUUAAUUAUCUAAAUUAUAUUCAUCAUUAUAUCCGGACUUUCAAUAUCCAAAUUAUAUUCGUAUCCAUUUAAAAUAAAUAUGAAUAUAUAUUUUUACAUCUGAAAAAUAUUUAUAUUUAUUAGAUAAAAUAAAUAUAGAUAUAUAUUUCAUUCAAUUUUUAUUUUAAUAAAUUAUAAAAAAUAUGAAUAUAGAUAUAGAUACGAAUUAUAAAUAAAUCGGAAGAAAUAGCAAGCGUAAUCAUUUGAACUUACACACCGAGGUUGUUUUCUGGUUUUUGUGGGAGGGCAAGACGGAAAUUUUUCCUCCCCGGAACUGGAUCGUCCCGUUCGUUCAUCCUGGACGCGCGACAACAAAUGCUGGAUCCCCUUUCGAUACGUAUCGCGUCGCUUUUCCGCGAUGUUGGCGUCCGCAUAGAAUCAGCUCGGCGGCAUAUCCUUUCUCAGUUCCCGCAUAAAAAGAAAUGGUUAAGCGGAACUGCCCCAGCUGGCGAGUUCUCCCAGCAUGCCCCAUCCGCGGCCAAGAGAGAUUAAAAUCCCCAUCCACCAUCAGAGAGUCCAAAAUACCCGAACCGAUCCCAAACCUUUAUCUUUAUAGGCUCGAGAGUGGAGAGAGGAAAGAUGAUGGAGGGUUUCUUGAUUAGAUCGGUGGUCUCCGUGGCGCUCUCCUUUUUGAUUGCGGCCAGAGCCUACAAGCACAGGUCGCUCGAUGGAUCGGGGGCGCUCGCGGGGUUCUUGGUGAUGGCUAUCCACAUCGCUGCUAGCUACAGGUCCGAUCGGUUCCUUUCCCUUUUCUGGAUUCUUUCACCAUUAUAUUAUCUGUGAAUCGGGUCGAAUCGAAUGGGAACUCUGUUCUGAUACUUCCGACUUCAACGCAGGUUCGGAGCGCUGCUUCUUGUUUUCUUCUUCACAUCUUCCAAGCUCACCAAGGUUGGGGAAGAGAAGAAGAGGAGCAUUGAUGAGGAUUUCAAGGAAGGAGGUCAACGAAACUGGUGAGGUUUUGCCGUUCAAAUUUCAGCUCUGUUGCGGCCUUUCUCUGGGACCCUCCGACGCACAAGUCAUUGAAGUGGCUUGAAGAAAAAGAGCGGCAGAGUCUUUGAGUUGCAAAACAGUGUGCGUAUCUGGAGGGAUCUCCACUCAUCUCUAUUUAUAGAGGGAGCAAAAUAAAUGGUGAGAGGACAGAUGAUCAUAUCGAUCAUGUCUUAUCGUACGGUGCUAUAUGAUGCCUCAUGGGCAUCUUUAAAUGUUGACGGCGAGCGUGCCUUCUAUUCGGCAUGGAUAAAACGGCGGACACCACCGUGCGUGGGAUAUAAUAAAUGAUCCUGUGGAUGUAUUUAAUGAAUUUAUAGCAUCCCAUCACGGCGCGCAACUAGCCUGUCAGAGUAUGGCAUCUGAGUGACACGAUCCUGAUGUGGCCUGUCAGGAUGGUGUAGUGGCUAUGAUCGGUGCUCAACUAGUCGGUAGAGGCCUGCGUUGUCGGAGUCGAAAAGAUGAAGCUGUCGAGAGAUGGUAUCCUGCCGUUGACGGGCAUAGUCGGCCGUACGUCAAGUAUGAAGUCAGUUACAGGCCGAGCAUUAUUGUGUAUAAGUGGCCAUGGAUAGCAUGUUAAACCUAGUCGGUUUUGUGCCGAGUAGGAGUAUGCUGCUCUUAGUUGGUCGGAUGUCCAUGAUAGUGCCCGACAUCGAUCCUGUCGGGCGGAAUUCGUCAAUCCGAGUCGGGUUAAGUGGCAAUAGCUUAAUCGGUGUAGCUUUUUUAGUCUUUUCGGAGACGAGAAGGCUUGGUAGUCGGCUAAGCGGUGGUAUCUAUCCUAACACCUACCCCCUAACUCCCAAGUCCGAUUGCGUGGUUAGUCGGACGAAGGAGUUCGUCUUUGAGCAUAUCCGAGUUGCUUUUGCCGACUGCCACUCGGUUGUCUCAUCACUUCGUCUUGUCUUUUCGUAGAACGUACGGCGGCGCCGUCCUAUCGCAGGUCGUGCGGCAGUUAAUGCCGUGGUGCUCGAGACAAUUCUUCGUAUUGAUGGCAGAAGAUCGACUGACAGGGUGAUAAUGAACAUGCAUACUAGAGUCGUUCGCAUGUCGAGCGUUGAUUGGCCCGGCUUAUUAUCAUGCAGAUUCAGCUUACUCGACGAGAUUUGAGCGGUGGUGCGUCGAACGGGCGUCGAGAUCAUCGGGUGAGAUUGCCACCACGUGUCAAGAUCUUCGAGUAGGACAUGGUACUUGGUGUCGAUCCCGACCGUCGAAGGAAUCUAUAAAUAGGAGCUUCCCCUCUUAGUCUUGCUUCCGAUUUCAAAGUGUUCGUUCUGUCUUAAAUCUUUCCUGCCCCCUUCUUAGCAGAGAGCUUAGGUUCUACCGUCGGUGAUUCGUCUUUUUCGACGUCGGUCUUUCAUCGCCAUCUUCAUUGCCAUCAGUCUUUUCCUCUAGAAGUUUUCUUCUCGAUCUUUUUCUUCUCUUUUUUGAUCUUUCGUUUAAGUCCCUUCUUCUCCUUAUGGCCUCUGUUGGUAGAUAGUUCGGAGAUGAGAACACGAUCGGAGACCGUAAUUCUCGGACUCCGACUGCCCUGAGGGAGAUCGAGGAAGUUCCUCGAGGUGAGCCCGAAGAGGCGAUUUCUCGAUAGGGUCAUUUAGACUUCAAGGAGUUAGGCGAGCGGCCUGCUGCCAAGAACCCCUUUAGAUCUCUCGUUGAGAGGUCCGAGUUGUCGGAGGCAGCUAUCGACCGACUAAGGGGACAUUACCAUAUCCCUAGUCGUUAUCGGGUGAUGGCGUCUGGUGAAGAAGGUUGGGUUGUUCGUCCUCCUGAUGGCUAUAUUGCCAUCUACGAGUUCUUUCGAUUGGAACUUCGAUUUUUCCUGCAUCCCCUGUUUGUCAAUAUUCUCGACCUGUAUGAGGUCGUCCCUGCACAGCUUGCCCCCAAUUUUUUUAGGAUCUUAGCUUGUUUUGCUGUUCUUUGUCACCUUCUUCGGGUUGAGCCCUAAGUUUUCUUGUUUCGGAUCAUUUUUGUACGGAAGAAACAUCCUCGAAAACGGAGAUGGUGGUUUUUCUGUCCUCGGCCCCAUCAACAGUUGUUCAAGAAGCUUCCUUCUUCCAUCCACGGUUGGAAAGGCAAAUUUUUUUAUAUUGCCGCUGACCACCCGUGGGGCUUUGACUGGACCUGGACGACUUCCAAUCUCCCCCCGAACAUAAAUGAAACAGUUCUGGAGGAAAAUCGAGAUAUACGAGAAGCUUUUCGAAGUCCAGGUUCCUCCGCUUCAGGAGCUGCUCAAGGAGCAGCCCCUUUACGACGUCGGGAUAAGUCCGACAAGCCAUCUCGGUAGUCUUCUUUUUCGCAGAUUUUUUUAUAGUUUUUACUUUGUUUGUAGACUAACCUUUCUUUGUCGUACUCAUGCAGGCAUGAGGGUUACGGUGGGAUCUCUCAAGGAAGCGGUUCGGAAGAAAAAGAUGAAGGCAUUAUCCAGGCCCGACGUCCCUCUCGACCACUGAAAAAGCCGAGGGAACACUUCCCUCCUCGGGUAUCGAGGAGUACACAGUCGCCGUCGCUGCCCCGACUACUGUUGAAAGCGUUCUUCCCUACUAUCCGUCACUGAAGUCGUCAUAAUCGUGGUUUCUCCCCCGACUGACGAGGAUGUGGUAAUCAUCGAGCCGCCGACAAGGCCGAUCGAGGCAGUACAAGCCCUUUCGGUCCAAGUCGGGUCUGGAGGAGGUUGGGCAGCUAGUUAGGAAGCUGCCGACAAAGGUAAGGCACCGAUGCUUCCUGCUUUUACUAUGGACUACGGUCCAGAUUUGCCUUUUGGGGAGCCAACUAUCGCGAUCGAGAUGCACUUCAAAGCCACUGAUCAGGCACUCCAAGAUCGCCGACUUGUCGGAGAGUUGGCGAGAAUGAUGAUGCUUUUUGCACAUUGAGAAGUCAAGAAGGCGUGCCCAAUCUCGAAGAUUCAGUUGGGCGCUUACGUGUCGUUGAUCGGGAUAAGUCUUCGAUCUUUUCUUAUUCGAUUUUUUUCUGGAUUGCUUUUGACCGAGUAGAUGACUUAGUCGCUUUUUCUAUUUUACAGAUGAUCCACGACAUUACAAUUUUGUCGGAAGAGUUGAUCAAAUCUGCUUAGGUCAACCUGGAGCUGGAGGACCAGGCUCAGAUCGCUUGUGCGUAGGCCGAGGUCGUCGAUGAGCUCCUUUGGAUUGUCGAGGAGCAGGAAAGGAAGAGUAGAGAGAAGAUCGCCCUGCUGGAGGCCGAAUUGGCGAACUCGGCGAUCCGAUAGGAGCAAGAAAAGGAGGAAUUUGAUAGGUUGAAGGCCAACUAUCAGAAGGAAAUGGAGUCGGCUGAGAGUGCCCUUGUCGGGGAGAGGAAGAAGAGGCAGAAGGUAGAGAAGGCGGCUGAGGAGGCCGAGAAUGCCGCUGAGGAGGCCAAGACUACCAAGGAGGCUAAGAAGACUGCUGUCGAGUUGAAGGAGAAACUACUAGCGGCGGCAGAGACUCUGGCCCAAGAAGCUGCUUCUUAGGCACUGGCCAAGUUUCGUAGGUCAAAGAAGUAUGAGGACGAGCUUGCUGAUGCCGGUGCGGACGCAUACCAGCUCGGAUUUGAGGAAUGUAAGAAGCAGGUCCACCAUCUCAUGCCCAAGCUAGAUUUAAGCUUGAUACAAGUCAACAAAGAAUCGGAUGAGUUGGGCGAUGAGGAAGCGGAGGUCGAGGAGGAUCGUCCCCAGCCUACUUAGAUUUCUUUUGUACUUUUUUGCUUUUCGAUCUUCCACCUUGUAACUUUGUAAUGAACUCCUGUUUAAUGAAAUGAUCUUCUCUUCCAAUUUUUGAGUUGUUUGGCUUGACUUGUAUGCAUGCUUUCCUCUCUUGUUUAUUCACUUUUUUUUCUGCAAAAUUGACUAAGUAAUGUAGUCAGCAAGAAAGUAAAGUAGUCGGUAGGAAGCAGCAAACCGAGUAGGUUGUAGCUGAAUUAACGGAUUUGAGAGAAUUCUCUAAGUCAUGUAAUCGAUUUUUGUAGGCAAACUCGGUCAGACUGAAGUCAUAGUCGUAGAUUGUUCGUCGUAGAUUAUUUCAUUGAGUAGGAACUUAGAGGAGAUUUUUGUUUAGGAUCAGUGGAUCCUUGGCCAGUCGGUGUUAAGCCGACUUACCAUAAGUUUAUUUUCGCCAGGUGUUAUGGCAAACCACAGCUUCCAUACUCGUGGCCCUUGGACUGUUGCGAAUAUAUGUUUGCGGUUGUCGUACCUCACAGCUCGAUAUCCGAUUCAAUCGAACACCACAUUUGUUUUGCCGAAUGUUAUGGCCCCAUGGCUUAUUGAUCCUGUCAGGCUUGUAGGCACUCGGACAGGUAUGCCAUCGGAUGUCGGAUCUCACGGCUCUGCUAAUUGGGCAUUAGCCAACUAACGCAGUCAUUUUGCUUAGGUCUCGUGCUUAACCUGGCACUACAGCUUUUGACAAGCAUGCUUACGGUUGAGGGACCCUUCCAUUGUUAGGAAUGGGCCCACUCCCAGCUUCAUUAGUCGGGUAUGAGCCGACUAGCGCUUCGUUAGGUAUAAGUCGAUAAGUGAGUGGUUGUGUUAUAGAUCUCUGAGAACUUAAACUGCAAGGCACAGAAUUUGCAGAAAGAAAGAUCUUUUUAUUGAUGAAGGCAUUCUUAUUGAUAAUACAUCAGUAGGUUUUCGAUGUUUCAGAUUCGAGGGAUCUCGGUGCUGUCCCAAUUAUCAAUUUUGUAGGCCUCUGGUCGCAGGACUGUUGAGAUUUUGUAGGGAUCUUCCCAAUUUGGAGACAGCUAUCCUUGCUCGGUGGGCUUGAAGAUUUUUGCUCUUCUGGGGACCAAGUCUCCUACUCAGAAAAUUUUUGGUUUGACUCAGGAGUUGUAACACUGAGCUACCUUUUGUUGGUAGAAGGCCAUUCUCAGUCGAGCUCGUUUUUGGAUUUUCUUGAGCAAAUCCAAUUCUGCUCAUCUCUUGUCCGAAUUGGUUGAUUCAUCGUAGUAUUCCAUCCGAGUCGAAGGUAAGCCGAUUCCAAUUGAAAUUAUGGCUUUAGUUCCGAAUGCCAACUUGAAUGGAGUCUUUCCGGUCGGGAUUCGAGGAGUUGUUUGAUAAGACCAUAGGACACUGUGAAGCUCGUCGGUCCAGCUUCUUUUAGUUUGAUCGAUUCUAGUCUUCAAGCCUUGGAGAAUCGUCCUGUUAGUCACCUCAGCUUCUUUGUUGGAUUGAGGAUGUCCGACUGAAGUGAGCUUGUCGAUGAUAUGAUACCUCGCACAGAACUCUUCGAACUUUACGUUGUUGAACUGUCGGCUGUUGUCAGUGAUGAUCACUCGGGAUAGACCAAAUCAGCGGAUGAUGGAUUUUCAUAGAAAAUCGAUAGUCUUCUGCUCUGUUAUCUACGCCAAUGGUUUGGGUUUCGACCCACUUAGUGAAGUAGUCGAUGGCCACUAUGAGGAAUCUUCUUUAUCCGCUAGCAGGCGGGAAUGGUCUGAGUAUAUCGACUCCUCAUUGGUCGAAUGGUCAGGGUGCCGAGAUGGUUGUAAGGUGACUGGACAGAAGCCUGCUUUUGUUGGCGAACCUUUGACAUUGAUCACAUUUCUACACCAAGUCGUAGGCGUCCUUCUGCAUAGUUGGCCACAGCAACUUGCCCCCCAAGUGACCGCAAAUGCCUUCAUGCACUUCUCGAAGAGUGUAGUCGGUCUCGGAAGGUUGGAGACACUUGAGCAGGGGUAGAGACAUUGACCUUCUAUAGAGUUGAUUGUCAAUGAUCAUGUAUCGAGUUGCCAAUCUCUUUAGUCGGCGUGCCUCAUCAAGAUCAACCGGCAAGGUUUCGUCCAUCAAGAAUUUGAUGAACAGGUCAAUCCAACUCAGCUCAUGUCUGACUUGGAUCUGAUGAACUUCUUCCUCUGAGUCGAUGCUUGGGCUCUUAAGAUGCUCGAUGAAGAUUUUUUCAAGCUCGCCGCAACUGGAGGUAGCGAGACGAGACAAGGAGUCAGCUCGGGUAUUCUCGGAGGGAUGUGGAAAAUCUCAAAGUAAUCAAAAUAUGGCUGCAGAGACUUAAGCCUUUGUAGAUACUCAGAGAGGAUAGGAUCUCGGGCUGCAUAUUCUCCUCGGGACUGUUCGGCGAUGAGCUGCGAAUCAGUGAAUACCCGUAGGUGCUUCAUACUAAGAUUUUUAGCAAUCUUCAACUCGAUUAUUAGGGCUUCGUACUCCGCUUAGUUAUUUGAAGUCUUGAAGCCGAAUCGAAGAGCAUACUCGAUCACCAUCCCGUCAACAUGGGUCAAAAUCAGGCCCGCACCGCAUCCUUGAGCGUUUGAAGCUGCAUCCAUGUAUAGAAUCCACAUGGAUUCUUAAGUGUCCUCCGAGGAGUUAUCUUCAACUCGAUCGUUGUUGGUUGCGGCGCACUCGACGAUAAAAUCGACGAGAAUUUGGACCUUCAUCGAAGAUCUUGAGACGAAAGAAAGGUCGAACUCGAUGAGUUCAACUGCCCAUUUCACCAUUCUCCUUAAGGUGUCUGGCCUGUGAAGUAAAGUCCUUAGGGGGAGGUCGGUCAGAACUUUCACCGAAUGGGCUUGGAAAUAGGCCCGUAAUCGCUGAAUAGUCGUUAUGAUUAUGAAGACGACCUUUUCAAUCCGAGAAUAUCUUGUCUCGAUGUCGCGCAGCACCCGACUUACGUAGUAGAUGGGCCUCUGCACUUUGUCUUCUUCUCACACCAGCACUGAGCUGAUGGUUUCAAAAGUCGUCGCCAUGUACAUGAGUAAUUCGUCGUCGCUGCUGGGCUUUGUCAGAAAUGGAGGAGAGCUAAGUUAUUGCUUCAACUUAUCGAAGGAGUUUUGGCACUCCUCUGUCCAGGUGAAGUCCUGCCUGAGGGUUUUGAAGAAGGAAAGGCACCGUUCUGCAGAUUUGGAGAUGAAUCAGCUUAAGGACGCAAUACGUCUCGCCAAUCUUCGAAUGUCUUUUCGAAAAUUUGGAGGCUUCAUGUUGAGAACCGUCUUGAUCUUUUCGAGAUUGGCCUCGAUGCCUCUCUUUGUCACCCUAAAGCUGAGAAACUUCUCCGACGUGACAUCGAAGACGCACUUAGUCGGAUUUAGUUUCAUUUGGUGCUUUCUCAAGAUGUCGAAAGCUUCAGUCAGGUCGUUGAUAUGGAGGGCAGCUUUAGUGCUUUUCACGAACAUAUCGUCGAUGUAGACUUCCAUAUUGUGUCCAAUCUGGUCUUUGAAGACUUUAUUGACUAGCCUUUGAUACGUUACUCCAGUAUUUUUGAGGUCAAAGGGCAUGACUUUGUAGCAGUAUAGAUCUUUGUUGGUGAUAAAUACCGUCUUCUCCUCGUCCUCGGGUGCCAUCUGGAUCUAGUUAAAGCCGGAGAAGGCAUCCAUAAAGUUGAGCAGCUGAAAGUCCCGACGUCGUAUCGACUAGUUGAUCUAUUCGGGAGAGUGGAAAGCUGUCCUUGGGACAGACUUUGUUCAAGUCGGUGUAGUUGAUGCAGAUUCGCCAUUUAUCAUUAGCUUUUUUAACCAUCACUACAUUCGCGAGCCAAUCCGGAUUAGGUUGUCUCACGGAUGAAGUCGGCUGUCAAUAAUUUGUCAAUCUUUUUAUCAAUGACCUUCUGUCGUUUUGCAGCAAAGCUUCUCUUUUUUUGUCUCACCGGCUUGUGGUGGGAUCGACGUUUAGUCGGUGGAUAAUGACUUCUGGAGAGAUGCUCGGCAUGUUUGAGGCAAACCAGGCGAAGACGUAGGUGUUUCUUCUUAGAAAAUCAAUCAGCUUGUCUCGCAGUUCCCUGCUCAGUGAAGAUCCGACUUGAAUGGUUUUAGUCGGAUCUCCAUUGUAUAGGGGAACUGAGAUGAGUUGCUCCACGAGUUCUUCCUGACUUUCGACUUCUCUCUGAUCCAGUCCGUCAUCGAUGAGGAGAGCUUCAGCUGAUCUUUUUUCAUUGGAGAUGGUUAAAUAGCAUUGUUGGGCCAAUUGUUGGUCUCCUCGCAUCUCGUCGGGUCCGUCCUUUGAUGGGAAGCGCACGAGAAGAUGGUAAGUUGAGACGACUGCUCGAAGUGCAUUUAAUCUGAGCCAUCCUAAGAUAACGUUAUAGGCUGAUGGGACCCGGGAUACAAGAAAGUUGAGGCACACGGUCGAUUGCCGAGAUGAUUGCCCGACCGUGAUAGGGAGUUCGAUCUCGCCUUUCACUUUGAUCGAGUCACCUGUAAACUCGAUUAGAGGAACAUUGAUUGGUUUGAGAAGUUUAGAAGAAAGUCAUCGCAUUCAGGAGAAGCAGUCGUAGGAAAUCACGUUAGCGAAACUUUCAUUAUCAAUAAGACAUCUUUUUACAUCAUAGUUGGCAAUUUUCAUCGAUACAACUAUAGCAUCAUUGUGGGGAGUUUGGACUCGCAAAUCUGCUUCGGUAAAGAUGAUGUCAUUGUUGGCCCGCUGGUGCUUGGAAGUGCUUUCGCAGUCGUCUACCCUCUGAAGUCGCGAUCCCAUCGAGAUCAUGUUGAUCAUGCCCCCCAUAGGUUGAGUGUGAUUCUCCUCAGGUCGAGACCGUGGUGGUGGAUCGGAAGGCAGCUGUGCAGGUCGCUCCCGCACGUACUUCUUGAGAUACCACUGCCUGAUCAGAUCUUCAAUCUCAUUUUUCAACUUGUGGCAUUGUUUGGUAUCGUGACCAUGGUUGCGAUAGAACCGACAGUAGUGGUUCCGAUCACGAGAUGCAGGCUUUGAUCUUAUCGAUUGGGGUCGUCGAAGGAAGUUCUCCCCUUCCAUUUUUAUGAGGAUCUGGGCACGAGGAAUAGUCAGAGAAGUGUAGGAGUCGUACCUGUUGAUGGGGUUCUUGGGCUUCGGAUUUGAUCGAGGUGGAGCCUCCUCGGUGCGGACCCGACUAGGCUCCUCGGAGAUCCCCUCCUUCCUCGCCUUCUUCUUUCGGCCCUUUUCUCGGACUCAUGUUAGUCAACUGUAGCCUCCUUGGUGCGGAUGUACUUCUGCGUGCGCUCGAGGAGUUCGACGUAGGACCAAAGAAGCGUCUUAUCCGAGUAGGUGAACUUAGAGCUUCACAGUCCCCACUUCAUGGCUGUGAUAGCUGUCGAUUCGUCAAGGUCCUUGACCUCCAAGGUGGCAAUAUUAAAACGCAUCAUGAAAUCACGUAGAGAUUCUCCAUCUUGCUACUUGAUGGAGAAAAGACUGUCGAUGGUUUGCGGUACUCUCCGAUUGGUACCGAAGUGCACCACGAAUAAUUGCUCGAAUUACUCAAAAGAGUUAAUGCUUUCCGACUGAAAUCCGGAGUACCACGCUCGCGCAGUUUUUCGGAGCAUAAUCGGAAAGGCAAUGCAGAGGAGGGCGUCGCAUGCCCCCUGUAAGAGCAUGAGAGCUUUGUAGCUCUCGAGAUGAUCGAAUGGGUUGGUGGAGCCAUCAUAUGGCUCAAUCUGCGGCAUUUUGAAUCGACUUGGAAUUGGUUCGUCGAAAAUUCGACGAGAGAAAGGCGGACUCGUACUAAUGCUGAAUUCGUUGGUGGGGUCUCGAUGGUUUGCUUGGAGCUGUUCCAUUCGGCGAUCCAACUCCUUUAGCUUUCGAUCGUACUUGUUCAAUCGUUGUUGCGACACGUCGAGAUGCCAUGAGUAGCUUGGGGUAGAGCUUUCCCCAGAAGAAGAGGAUUUUGGCGGAGAUCAUGGCCUCUUCCAUUUGCGUGAAGCUCGUUAAGGGGAAUGAGGCCGGCGAUCGCUAGAGUCGGCAUGCGAGACGCAUCGAGAGUCUAAAUGUGGUGACUGUCGGGCGGGUCGAGAACUCGCCCGACGAGAGCGUUGUGUAGGGUGGCAGGUUAGAGAUCGCGGCCGGUGACCGUGACUAGAAGGUGCGUCACGUGGUGCAAUCUCCUCCGACCGUUGCUGCUGCUGCUGUUGUUGUUGGAGAUCGUAGACGGCCUCCAUCAAAUUUUUUACCUGCUGCACAAGGGCAGUGAACCCAGGAUCUGUCGUCACCGACGGUCGUGAAAUGCUCGGUUCUCCGAGAGUGACCGGAGGUGCGUCAUGCCAGGAUGAACAUCGAGCGGAGCUUGCGGAAGUAUUUUGCGUUCUCAUCUUGGUCAUGGAGGUCCUUGAGAGAGAAAAUUCUUUUUUGCUCGAUUGUGCCUUCCUACCUGGCGUGCCAAACUGUUGUGGCCUUUCUCUGGUUUUGGUAAUCGGCUUGGAACCGACUAGCUGCUUUGCCUGGAUGCGUUGUGCUGGGACGCUGGAAGAUGAUGUGCCAUCGUCAGAAAAGGUGCACAUAGUCAAGACCGAAGGUGAAAACGAGGGAUUGUCGGUGUACGGUGGAGCUGGUCUCCGCUCAGUGCCGGAGAAGGCGAAAAUCUGCAAAGAAAGUCUCGUCGGAGGUGGCUCCAAUGAGGAUCCUUCGACGCUCAAGUCAGUAAAAUGGCUUGAAGGAAAAGAGCGACAGAGUCUCUGAGUUGCAAAACAAUUGCAUAUCUGGAGGGAUCUUCGCUUAUCUUUAUUUAUAGAGGGAGCAAAAUGAACGAUGAGAGGACAGGUGAUCAUGUCAAUCAUAUCCUAUCGUAUGGUGCCGUAUGGUGCCAUGUAGGCGUCUUUAAAUGUUGACGGCGAGCGUGCAUUCUAUUCGGCACAGAUAAGGCGGCAAACGCCACCAGGCAUGGGGUAUAAUAAAUGACCCUGCGGACGCAUUUAAUGAAUUCAUAGCAUUCCAUUACGGUGCGCAGCUAGUCAGACAGAGUAUGGCAUCUGAGUGACAUGAUCCUGAUGUGGCCUAUCAGGAUGGCAUGGUGGCCAUGUUCGGUGCUCAGCUAGUCGGUAGAGGCCCGCGUUGUUGGAGUCGGUAAGAUGAAGCUGUCGAGGGGUAGUAUCCUGCCAUCGAUGGGCAUAGUCGGCCGUACGCUGAGUAUGAAGUCGGUUACAGGCCGAGCGUUGUUGUGUGUAAGUGGCCAUGGGUAGCAUGUUAAACCUAGUCGGCUUUGUGCUGUCUAGAAGUAUGCUGCCCUUGGUUGGGUGUCCACGAUAGUGCCUGGCAUUGACCCUGCCAGGCGGGAUUCGUCAAUCCGAGUCGGAUUGAGUGGCAGUAGCUUAGUCGGUGUAGCUCCUUUAGCUUUUUCGGAGACGAGAAGGCUUGAUAGUUGGCUAAGCGACGGGGAUCUACCCCAACAAGCUCUCUUUUGUUUCUCUGUUCUCUUUUUCUUGAUUUGAACUUUUACCUGGAGGCCUUUUUGCUAGAUCUUUUAGGGAAACCAUUAUUUGAUGGGGAGAGCUCCAGGGCUCUAUCUUUCGUGCUUCUUUUCUUGUUCUUUUCCCUAGAUUAAUGUGGCAGCAGCUUUUCUUCAUUUCUUGAUUUAAAUAUCCGACCAGAGUCUAAUUUUGCCAUAUACUUUUUUUCUGUUGAUUUCUUUGUAUAUUGUGUUCUGUUUUUUUUCAUUCGCAAUCAUUUAUAUGCCCUUUUUCUUUGAUCGGUCAAGUAUCAGUCAAAGAUUGGAUAAAAAGAAACUGACCAAACUUUGUAAUCUCUUGCAAGGGCCUAUGCAGCAAUGAUCUGAGGUGUGAAAAUUAUUUGGACAAUAUUUGGAAAAGAUUAACCAUAUAGAGGAGGCUUUAUGUGGAAACAGAAUUUUAAAGCUAACCUGAGUAGUUGGUAGUUGUGAUAACAUUAAACUAAAUAUUUCUCUCGUAUUUUGAUCUAAGUAUAUUCAGUUUCUGAUAUGAAGUUCAGCUGAAAAUAUUGUUUAUCUUUGAGCUGCCCACAUAGAUUUGCCUGAUACAAUGUUUUGCUCAUGUAACUGUUCAUGUUCUAAAAAAUCUCAAUUCAACUAUAUUUCUUGCUUAUUAUUUCAUAUUCUGAUCUUAACUGGAUUUUUUUUUUAAUGUGUGUCAUGGAUACCACUUUGCCCAAUAUUAUAACUGUGAUUCUUGACUAUUAUUUCAUGUUCUAAGGAAACUUAAUUUGAAUAUGUAAGUUGGUUUUGCUAUUCAAUAGCUGGUUGAUCUGUAGAUCAUCUCUAUUAGCAGUUAGGAUUAUUUAACUAAAAACCUAUAUCACGUUACCAUAAGAUUUAUCGGAUUUCUUUCAAGUAAAAUUCAUGUUUUUAUGUCUAAACAGUGGAUUCUGCGAUGUCCUCUUUAUUAAACUGUUCAUGAACCACCUUCUUACCUUUACAGAAAACCAAGACUUGGGAAACCAUUAUGUGGUGGAGCACAUUAAGUGUUGAAUUCAUGUCAAUUACAAGCUUUGGUUUGCAACGAGUUGGGGAAUUUCAAUAAUUUGCCGUUUGAUAUGCAGCAUAAAAUUUUGAUAUCUAUUGUAUUUUAUUAAUAUUUUGGCCAUUUGUGUGAUAUUUGCUUGUUCUGAAUAACCUUAUUCUGUUUACAGGGUACAGGUUUUGGCUAAUAGUGCAAUUGCAACGAUUUUGGUAGUUUUAGUUGCAAAAAUGACUGGUGGGAAAGAGAGGUGCUUGGACACAAAAGAGUCAACUCUUAUUACUGGCCUUAUUGGUGGUAUCAUUGGACAUUAUGCCUGUUGCAAUGGUGACACAUGGUCAUCUGAAAUUGGAAUGCUUAGUAAUGCACAGCCCCGACUAAUUACAACUUUCAAGGUAUGUGCACUAAAACAACUUAGUAAUGUUUAGUAAUGCACUGAAAGAUACCAUUAUAUAUUUAUAAAAACAAACAAUGGGGAUUGUAGCUAUAUAACAUCAGAGAGAAAAUUCAAAAAAAAAAAAAAAAAUCAAGGUCUCUUACUAGCUAUUCAGAAGAAACUCUGAAUUUACAAAAUCAUGGGCUAAUCAUGAUUACAAGGGCUGAUUUGUUUACAUGUAAAUAACAUCUUUGUCUAGCUAGCUGCAUGUUGGUGCAAUACUAAUCAGCAUUAAUUGCAGCAAGUGGAGAAUUUUGUUUUGGUCAUCUUCUUACCAGUGACUAGGUGAUGCAGUUUUGCUGUUUGGUCGGUGAUGUAAGUAAUGGGAUCUAUACACCCCUGAAGUGGGUUGAUAAGAUUACCGCCAUGUUCGUCAACUCAAACAUUUCCCUGAUAGAAUGCAAAUCAUGGAACAAUGAGCUACUUUUGCUUAUCAAACUAUGACUUGCUAAUUAAGACAUAAGUUGCUAAUUUAGAUUUUAUAUGACAAUAAAGACAAAAAAUUCAUAACAUAACAAGUAAAUGAACACUGAGUGGUUGUUCAAUUUGCCAAGCCCUAGAAAGUCAAAUGUUGUUCAUUUUAUAUGCAAAUCUAUAUUCUAGAUUUGGCAUGCACAGCAAACAAGAUGUACACCUGAGUAUCGGUUAGAUACCGGUAUGGUGUGUUGGGUGGUACAUCCCCUGUAUCUAUUCAUAGUUUGUCGGCAUGAGCAUUAUAUUUGUGUCAAUGUGGAUUUGAUAUGGGUUAGUAUGAUGCACGGCACAGGAGGCAUGACACAUGGUACAAGGCUACGAUCAGCAUUUGAAACCUUGAUAAUGAACAAAUUAUGAAUUGGAGACUGUCAAAUGUCACACCAUUAGGAAUCAAGGGUGCAGUGUCAAAAGAAUCCACCUGUCACAUGUUGUCACAUAAUACAUGGGUAUAUGAAAUACAUAUAUAAAUCUACAACCUAGAUGCAUAAUAUAUUUUGUCUUCUUCUACUUGCCGAUGUACAAUUUUAACCUUGGAAAACUUUCUGUCUUUCUUGGUCUUCCAUUCCCUUUCUCUGUACAUCCAUUCACAAUCUCAGUCAUCUCUGCUUUGCAUCUACUGCUAGUGAGCUGUAUGUGAGCCUAAAGAAAGAAUUGGAGGAAGAGAUGAAUGCAUGAAACAAAUUUUUGAGAUAAAACAUCAACGCUCAGGUUACAGUGAUAUUCACUAUAAAUAAUAUCCUGUCCAGAUGAAUGACUAAAGUAUCCCUAGAGGCUUGCAUUUUUGCUAUCAUAUUUUGGCUUAUGUCAUGAAUGAACAAAACCUGCUAAGUCUUGAAAACUAACCUAAAAACUGAAGAACUUGUAGGCAGCUUUGGGAAAUCUCAAAAGUUUAAAGAGCAUGUCAAAGGUGGGGAAAAAAAGGAGAGAACGUGGAAUCCAAAAUCUCCAAGAAAAAUGUGAAUUCAACUACUAAUAACCAUUUUGAAACCACAUGGAUUAACCAACAGAAAUUGCGUGGGAUCAUGGAGGCUAUGAGGGUCAAGUGAAGCAACAUAAAAGUCUAGAAAUGGAUACCCAACUGCCAGCUAUAUGGAUCCAUUAUCUAACAUGUUGUUUGUUCUAGACUGCCCAUAAAGCAGCAAACUCCACAAAAAAUGGUAUAACAUUAGUUGAAAUGCAUGGCAGAUAAAAUAAGUGUGUGACUAACUAUGAUGUAAGCAUAUAACGUACCACCUAGACUGCAUACAACACUAUAGUCAACCAAUAUAUAUCAAUAGGAAACAAGAAAGAGUGAUGACAAGAUGUGUUGGAAUAUUAAGUGGAAGUUUUAGUAUUGUUGUAGAAGCUCAUGCUAACCAACAACAGUCUCUGGGACCUUCACUACCAUUUCUUUGUACAAGUUGUCUAUGCAGAUAGCUAGAAAUCCAAGAAUGAAAGCCAAAGCAAUAAAAUCACCUAAAUUAUGUUUUUGCCAAACUGAAUUGUUUGUUUACUGCAGCUAACCGUCACCAUCCUCAUCCUUUCUCCUUCCUCCAAGAUUAGCAAUUGAAUCAAAAAUAGUGAUUUCCUUGAACAAUUAAGUGUCAACAGAAGUGCUAUAUAGUCUGUCCUAUGAAUGCCCUCCAAUAACGAAAUGAACAUUCUUCAACAUGACACCAUGCUCAUACUUCAGAUGGAAAAUGUUGUCAUCAAUAAAUCCAUAGUUAUACAUCAUCUCUCUUUUAUAUGACCGUAUAUUAUCAGGUGGGCAAGUCUUCCUUGCACAUAGAAAUACUUGCAUAAGCAAACAGUUUUACUGACUACUUUCUUGAGGACCACAUUUUCAUCAAAUGACCUGGCCUCUCUUGGCUCAUCCACCAUCAAGAUUUUUUUCUCCCCGACUAAACAGGUGUGCUAUUCUUUAUGCUGCUUUUAUGUUCUUACGCUCAUUUUCCUUUCAUGGAUGAUGAAACUGCAGUUUCUCUGAGUUUAUUAAGAUAAUAUUCUAAAGUCAUAAGUUGAAUGUGUUGAGUAUUCAGUUUUCCCUCCCCUAAGCGCAGCCUCUCUCCAUGUUCUUUCUUUUGUUCUUAAUAGCAAGCACUGGACUUAAAUGAGGUUACUCUAGGUGUUUUCACAAUGCUGAACUAGUACCUCCUUUAUUCAAUAGUUCGAAGUAAAGCUUCCAUCCAGAUGGGGAGAAAAAAAAAAUAGAGUACAAUAUCUGAAGUUGAGUGAGAAUUUCCUAGAGGAUUGGAUGGAAUGGACAAUGCUUAAGGUAGGUGAGAUAGGAGAUUGGCGGGAAAGAGGCCAUACCAUGCCAGUUGACCUAGUUCACGAACCAUGGUAAUAGGAAGGUUUUUCAACAUCCAUGGCCAAACCUCUAAAUAAGUUCCCCACUAAAACCAAAGCAUUGGUCAACUUGUAGGUACAAAAAAUUCUUGUCCCCUCCUAGCAGCAAGUUUUCUCUUUGAAUUUAGCCUUUCGGGCCCAUUUUUUGGUGAAUAAAUAUUAUGAAAAAGUUGAUCAAUUUUUUUAUUAACCAACUUAUCCAUAUUCUCAUAUUUCUCUAGGUAGGUAAAUUAUUUUUUAUGGAUAGUAUUUAUCCAUGAAAUGGGAAAGUUUUACCCACCUAUAAGGUGGAUAAGUCAUUUUUCCAUCAAUCGAAAAAAUAAUCUUUUUAUUUUAUUCCUAAUAUACCCCUAAUCCUAUAAUAAUAAUAAAAUAAUAUGUAGUACUAUCUUAUAUAUAAUAUAAUAUAAUUUUAUUAUGCAAUAAUAUUUUAUUAAUUUAAUUUAAUAUAAUAUUAUAAUAUUAUUAUUUUAUAAUAUUAUAAUAAUAAAAUAUAAUAAUAUAUUAUUUUAAUAUAUAUUAAUAUUAUAUGAUAUAUUAUAAUAUAUAUUUUAUUUAUUUGUAUAUAAUAUAAUUUAUUAUAUGAUAUUAUAUAUUGUAUAUAUUAUAUAUAUUUAUGAAUAUAUAUUAUAUAAUAUUAUAUAUUAUAACAUACAAAAUAUAAUAUAUUAUACUAUAUCAUUAUAUAUAAGAAUAUUUAUAUAAUAAAUGGUAUUAUGAGAAAUAUGGAUAAAUCUUAGCAACUUAUCCAGAAAACUAGUAAGGCAAAAGAACAUGAGUAACAAAUUCCCAAGUCAUUUAUCAAUGCAUAAAAGAAUAUGGGUAAAUUAUUUUUCAGUCUAAAUGUUACCUGGAAAAUACUUAUAUAGAAAAAUAUAGAUUCCUGGAUAAGUUUUUUACCUUCAAAAGAAUGAGUCCUUCAAGUAAAAUAGGCCAUUAAUCCCCCAGAUUGUAUGUUAAUUUUACCGUGUGGUAGGUGCGCUGAGUUUUGUUGGAAAAUAUUUUGAAACUCGGAUAACUCCUAACCUCGAAACUGUCAAAUGACUUGUUAGAUUCGUAAUUUAGAUUUUAGAGUGCUGGAAAUAGUAGUCUGAUUAGAAAACUUUGUUGGUAAGUAGACAAAUAUUGAGGCAGUUAAGUUGAGCCAAACAGCCAUCCUACUUCAUUGUUGUUAAAUUUGCAUUUUGAAGGUAUGAUGGUAGAAAAAGACCCAUCAGAUGAUCUGGAAAGCAAGGAUCAGGAAUAAGCCAAACAAAAUUCCAACAAGGCAAGUGGUGUUAAAUGAACUUCUACGAAGUGGUAAUGGCCAAUCAAGCAGGUCUUGAUCUCAUCUUUCUGUACCCUGCCGAUUGAGCAAGAAUAAAAAAGCAAUUGAGACAGGCAUUCUGAUGUCCCUCUUUGAUCUUCUCUGUAUUUCAUCAGCUGGAUUAUGUAUUUCACAUAGCAUUUGGAUCCAAUUACUAAAAUGCCAUGUAGUACCUUUAUGUCAAUCUCUCGAGGGAUGCCAAUAUCAGUAUAUUCUGAUGCAAUUUUGCUUUUCCUAGUUGCCUAAUAGGAGUCAUAUAGUUUUCUUCAAAUAAUAAAUUAAUAAUCCCUAUUAAAGCUCCUGGAAAUGUAACAUAGAACAGAAUUUGCACCUCGCAUUGUGUCCAUUUUUUGUCCCCGGCUUGCAUUCCAGGUGUGUGUUAACUGUUUUCUAAAAUAAAAUGUAAUAAAAAGGCUGUGAAUGCUGCUGAAUAGUUAUCCCUCCUAAGGAUUUGAAUAUUAUAAAUUUCUUGCUUUACAAUUAAUGCAAAGAAUGCUUCUCACUACUAACCAGAUAUCCUGGGUUGAUGAUUGUAGCACCUUAUGAUCAUUUUAUUUUUUCUGAAUAGUGGAAACAUCUCUAAACCAUUUUUCUCUCCCUGUAUGAGCAGACUGUCCGAAAGGGAACAAAUGGUGCAGUCACAGUAGAAGGACUUCUAGCAGCUGCAGCAGCUGGCUUUGUUAUCGGGCUUACUUAUGUCAUUGUUGGAUUGCUUACAGUUGAAUGUGCUCAUGAUGUCAUCUGGAGGCAGCUGCUAGUAAUACCAGUCGCUGCAGCAGCUGGUCUAUGUGGGAGUUUGAUUGAUUCAUUAUUGGGUGCAACGCUCCAGUUCAGUGGUUAUUGCACCUUGAGGAAAAGGGUAAUGAAUACAUUGGCCAUGUCCCAUAAAGUUUCUUUUAUCACUAUCUCAUUUUUUUUAAACAACAUGUUAUCAGUCCCCUUUAAGCAACUUAACAGGAAACUGCUUGACGUAAGUGACCGAAUUUAUUUAUUAAUCAAAGAAUAGGAAAAAUAACCAUGAUAUGUUUGUUCAUACAUGCUUUGCUUUCUAAAUCACAUUAUUGUGCAACAGAUCCCCUGAAUAUUUACUUCAGAAGGAAUCUGCUAAAUCAUCAGCUAAUAAACUGCAUGAUUUCUUGUAGGACUUCUUAUAGGAAAAUCUUUUGCAAAAGCCAUCUUUGUCAUGUUUGGCAAUUGCUCUAAGACUCUGCUAAUCUGAUUUUGCAUGUUGAUCAGCCACCUCUGGGAGCAUGAGGUUCAUGAAGCUGCACCUUUUGCAUUCAUCUUUUUAUAUCUUGCUUUAAAUUCUACAUAAGUUUUCUGCUAUUGGCUUCCAGCAGGAGUUCAUUAAUUCGAUAGUUCCAGAAUUAUUUAUUUGAUCGAGGGACAUUGCAUUGAGGUUAUCAUCAAUGGGCUUGUAAUCAAUAUUGAUUCCCCAUGAUGUAGUUGCGCAGUCCAAUUCUGCUUAUUUGCAUUACGAGGGAAAAUAUUCAGUUAUUUCUGCUUGUUCUUAUCAAAAUUUUCUGCUGAUACAAAAUAUGAAAGAUGUGUCGUAACUAAUAUGUUUUUCUUUGAAGGUGGUUGGAAAACGUGCACCUACUGUGGUCAAGAUUUCAGGAAUGAGCAUUCUAGACAACAAUGCUGUGAAUGCAGUGUCGGUGCUAGCAACAACACUGCUUACGUCUGUUGCGUGCUUGUACAUCUUCUAGUUGCUUCCGAAUCUUGCUUUCAUGACUAAUUCUUCUUGAUUCUCGGACAAUAGCUACUGUACCGUCAACAUGACAGCAGGACUUGGUCCCAUCUCUUUAUCGAGGGAGGCAGGCAUACCAUUCUUCUCGGCAUUUUUCUGGGGCGAUAACCUGUCGGCCGUUUAACAACUGUGGCGUUCGUGUACCAAAGUGUGAUAUGUAAAUGACCAGGCUCCUUGCUGGAUAUAUUCCAGAAAAGUCAAAAACUAAGGGAUAAAGGGUCUGUAAAAUCUUCAAGUCAGGAAAAAAAUGAUGAAAAGUCAUUUAUAAAUAGGGGUAUUUGAUGACAUGUGUUCUACUUGUAAGGAGUUAAAAUUUUGGGGUAAUCUUUUUAUAAACUGGGGUAUUUAUGGUGCUGAUGUGUUCUAGAUGGUUGCUUGUACAUGGGAAUGGUGGUGUUGAGGAUAAACACAACUUUGGGAGAAAAGAAGUUUCUGGGGCUCUUGAGUAUUAAGGAGAAGAAGAGCACUUGUUGUGGAAAUGCAGAACAAUUCUAUUAAUCUCCAUGCUACCAACAACGGUUGAUUCCUUUAUUAUUGAAAGCUGAACUCAUGAUUGCAGGAUGAUGGAAAGAUUGACAUGCUGCAAUUUCUUUGAGCGCUCGAUAGACUUGCUCAAAGAAUUCCACUACAAAUGAUCCCGCUCGGUGUACCAGCAUAAGGUGUAACCGUCUAUCAGGAUAUGAUGAUGACAAUAAUAAUAGCAUAUGUAAAACGAAGGCAAAAAAGCCUCGUAAUUCUGGUGGAAGUUGGAAAUGAGGGUAAUCAUUCAUAACGAGCGUGAUCAUAAUCACAGGUGGGAUUGCAAGAUUUAGAGAGAGCUGCAAGUUACCCAGAGAACAUAUGAAAGGACUUGCCAUACAUUGUUUCUCCCCGCGUGCUGAAUUGCAAGUUGCAACGAUAUGCAAUCGCGUCUUUCCUAAGAAAAGCACUUUUAAGUGACGUAUAUAAGAAGAUCUACAAUCUUAUCGAGCAGUGGAGUGUUUGCUAAGAAUAGUGUUGGUUGUAAGGUCUAAGACUUGCGGGAACUUACUGGGCCGAUAGCGUAAGCUUGUCCUUACUGGGCCUACAUUCUACGCCGAGAUUAUCAUUUAACAAAUUGGACGGGUUUUGCUCUCAAUUUCCUCUAAAAAGACAUGCAGCCAGAUGCACCAGAUCAGGAAAUGAAACAUACUUGAAGUUCUGCAUCUUCCACUUCUCAGUUCCUUGAAAAAAUAAAAAAUCCCUGGUAAACGGAGCCAUCCACAUACAAUCCUUAUAAAAGAACCUCGUGCAUGCCGUAAUUGGCAAAAACCGAGUACGGAACAUUAAAUUGGAAGCGUUAGGUAAAAAUAAGCCUUCUUGCAAUUUCCCUCUUAUUAUAAAAGCAGCUACCAAUAGAAUGGCAAGUCGUCUUUUUUCGAAUGAGGAAUGGGGGAGCUUUCCGAUAUAGAUUCCUCUCCGGUCGGCAAACCUCGUGAGUUUCUAGUAGGUGCCCAGAUGCGAUCGUGCGAUAUCGUCAAUCUUCGUGCAGCCUCUGAAGCAUUUGGUCGAAUGGGUGCUGGGGUGGUUACUAGGUGUUCGAGGGGAUUGUAAUGGUGGACAAAGGCAAAGGAGCGAGUAACAAUGGCCGAUUUUCACCGGAGCCGAGCGGUGGAGAGCGCUCUUGGGCUCGUGUAGCUCAAAGGCCGCCGCGGCAGUCCCGAUGGACGAAGCACAAAAUCACGCUAGAGGUAGUGGAGCAGCUCCAGCGGUUCUUCACCAAGGUGCUAGAGUUCCCGAAGGAGAAGAUGGAGGCGUCCCGGAACCAGUGGAGGAACGUCUCUAUGUUGGCUCGAAGUUUUGGCCGGAGGCUGCCGGUGGAGUGGGUGGUGAGAGAGUUUAAGGCUAAAGGGUAGUUUCAAUACGACCCUGAACCGUUCUCUUUGGGCGAGGAUCAUCACCUCGUCCGUUUCUAGUCAGAGGAAUGACUGUAGGAGGAUACUCGAUGGGGGGCCAUGGUUCAUCACCGGCCAACUCUUGGCGGUGGAGCCGUGGGUCCCUGAUCUCAUCCCCGGUGUUAACACAGUACGGAGGAUGGUGAUAUGGAUUCAGCUAACCAGUCUGCUGAUGGAAUACUGGCGGAAGGAGAUGCUAACGGGGAUCAUUGUGGAUGCCAGGAACCCGAUUGUUCUGGACGACUUUACCUAUUCGCAUCGGAAGAUCGGAUUCGCUAGAAUCCCGAUGGAGAUCAACUCGGUGGAGCCCUUGAAACCGGGGGUUUCCAUAAGGGGUGGCAGCCAUUUGCUUACAAAAAAGCGUCGGCCGUGUGCGAUCGGUGUGGCUGGCGGGGCCAUGGAGACAACAACUGCAAGUUCACCCCGGAGAAGAAGGUGGAUUUGGGCCAUGGCCUUCAACUGGAGAACUUUUUUGUGAGCCCCAUGGUGGUGGAGGAAGCGGUGGCGGAGAGUGAGUACCCAACGAAGAUUGUCUGGCCAUGAAUGGGGCCGUGGGUGGCCACCUCAAGGAUUCACCAGCCUAAACCCUCUAGGGUUCCGACGAAAUCGGAGAAGGCGACCGAUUCCAACCCGGAAUCCUUGGCUCCGAGUUCAUCCCUAUCCCAUCCAAGCUCACCGACACAAUAGGUUAGCUUUCCUGGAUCACCGCCAGACUCUGAUGGUUGGCAGAAGCUAACCAAGUUCACCCGUCGACAUUCACUGGAGAAGCCUCGAGAUGGCCCCGACUCGGCUCAAGUCGGAAGCAAUGAGGCAGGAUUGGGCUUCGGUGCUUUGAUCAAGUUGGGCCUAGGCCCAGAGGAUAUGGUGGUGGGCAAUGAGGAAAGCUCGAGCCCAAGCCCACGAGACCACUGCAUUGGGGAAGUGGGUGGGCCACCUUUGAAGCGGGCCAGAAGCCCGACCCGAUAGCCUACUUAAGUUGAGGUCCAGCUCGCUACUGCCGGCUUGUCGGGAAUCCUAUGGCGAGUUCACUGGUUGGGCCGAAGUAGGGAGGGCAGGAGGGCUCUGUGAAGAAAACGGAUGAUGCAUCUGUAUCGAAGCCGGAGAAAGUGAAGCAAUCGUCGAAGGGAGAUGGCCAGCGAGCGUGGAAUGGGAGAGAUUGUCCAAUGGAGCAUAUGGUGGCCAUCCCAGGCCGAGCGUGGAAUGGGGGAGCGACUCUGGCAACCAAGUGGAGGAGAUCCAGGAGAUGCGAUCGAGAGAGGAGAUCUGCAAGCAUGCCUCAAAUCCGGAGGCCAGCCAACUAUCCUCAUCAGGUGUCACUGAGAAGGACGGAGGUGUUGAUGGACGCAGCGGGGAUCUAACGCAGGGCAAUUGUGGGUUGGGCCACGAGGAGGCUAUGGACCGGGUCAAGCAGGCUUUGCAGGUUGUUGGGAGCCAAGUGAAGGCAGUUGAGGGUGACUUGUCGGGUUGUGAGGGGGUGACUCUUCUCGGGGCUUCUCUACUCUGGAAGUUGGUUCCUCAUGAAGAUGUUAUUGUGGAAUGUGAGGGAGGCAGAAAAAUCGACCUUCCACUCCACCUUCAGGAGAAUGAUGCAGCAGUAUGAGUCUAAUCUGCGUCUUGAUGGAGAUGAUGUGGUCUGGGCCUAGCCUGAUGUACAUCUGAUGACGUUUUUCUAUCAGCUGGAGCUUUUAUGCUGUGGAGUCCUAGGGUCUUUCUGGAGGCAUAAUUGUCAUUUGGAAGGCCACUGUAACUUCUAUGGACGUGCUACAUUAAUGUACUCAACAAGCUGUAAUCAUUAUCACUAAAGUUAAUGGAUCUACUUAGCUUUUGUCUGGUGUGCAUGUGAGUACCAAUUAUUUGGAGUGGCGUGUUUUGUGGGGCGAAGUAUUGAUAUUGAUUGAUCAAGCGAUCCUAUUUAUGAUAGAUGGUGGUGAUUUUAACUGUAUUGGAUCUCAAGAGAAAAGGGGGCAGACUCUAUGUUCAUGAUGUGGAGUCCAGAAAGUUCAGGGGCUUUAUUCAGACCAAUGGUCUCGUGGAUCUUGAUUUUAUUGGUCUGAGAUUCACUUGGUGUAACAACCGCCAAAGAGGGAUCAGGGUUUGGAAAAGAAUUGACAGGCUGUUUGUGACUGCUAGUGGGAUACAGAGCCACCCAACUCAGUUGGUCUGCUACUUGUCAAAGAUUACUUCCGACCACUAUUCGAUCUUGUUCGUCACCGAUACCCCCAUCUCUCAUCGAAGCCCUUUUCGAUUUGAAAAGGUGUGGCUCUUCUAUCCUCGAUCCUGGAACAUUGUGAGGGAGGUCUGGUGCAUGCCGGUUCACGGAGAUACCAGGUAUAGAGUUAUCCGGAGGCUAGAGCUAAUGAGGAGGAGGUUUUUGAGAUGGAAUAGGGAGGAGGUUGGGGACAAAUUCAGGAGGUUUGAGACCAUUAAGACUUCCAUUGCUGAGCUACAGGAGUGAGGACCGAGAGGGUGGGCUUGUAGAGGAGUUGGCUGACCUUUAGGGAUUGCUGUUGGAGCACCACUCCUUCUCAAGGCAAUAUGAGAUUUUUUGAAGAUAGAAGUCUAGGAUGCAUUGGAUCAGGGAAGAAAAUCGGAACAUGAGUUUUUUUCAUCAGACAACCAUCAUCCAAAGACACACGAGCCAGAUUUAGAUGAUCAGGGAUGUUGGGGGGUAGUAGUUGUUGGGUGAGGAUUUGCUCAGAUAGGAGAUUGUGAGCUUCUUCAAAUCUUGGUGGACUACAUCACUAAGGGGAGUCAGACCCUCCGAACCCCCCUAGAGAGUGUGGUCACGAAGUAGGAGAAUGGGGAUCUCAUUGAAGCUAUGACGAAGGAGGUGCAAACAAUGCUUUGGUCGAUGGUAAAAAAUAAAGCCUUGGGACCUGAUGGCUUUCCCCCCUUUUCUUCAGAUGAUAUUGGGCUAUCAUCAAGAGUUCUUUAUCAUUGGCCAUAUACCAAGGACUGGGCUAUCGUCCUUAUUUCGAAGAGAUAGGAUGCUUUGGAGUCAAGAUAUUUCAGACCAAUCAGCCUAUGCAUGACCAUGUACAAGUUAUGCGCUAAAUUGAUGGUCCAUAGGAUGAAGAUUGUCCUUCCUUAUCUAAUAUGUUUGGAGCAGGAUGUAUUUGUCGAGGACCGUAGCAUCUUUGAUAACAUUUUCAUUGAAUAGGAAUUCAUGCAUGAUCUCGAUCGAGCUUCUCCCCACCACGCGCUCAUGGUGAUUAAGUUCGAUAUGGAGAGGGCUUAUGAUCGAAUGAGUUGGUAAUUUCUUGAGGAAGCAUUGUCAUGCUUUGGAUUUCACCCCCACUGGAUUGAUUGGAUUAUGAUGUGCGUUCGAAGUCUUAUUUUGGUCAAUGGGAUGCCCUUAGAGUUCUUUUGUACUAUAGUGGGACUGUGGCAAGGUUGUCCUCUAUCUCUCUAUCUUUUUUAUUAUCUGCACUAACACCCUCUCAAGAGCUCUUCGUGCUGCAUCCCUAGGAUCGGUGAUAGCUUCCUAUGUGCCAGCCCCAAGGGCCCAGCUGAUCUCACAUAUCUUUUUUGCAGACUACUAUUUGUUGGUGGGUUGGGCCACAGUUCGGAGCACCACCAGAUUCAAAUCGAUCUUGGAAGACUAUUGUGGUGUCUCGGGACAGAAGAUGAAUCAUCUCAAGUCAGCGGUGCAUUUUAGUCUGAGGACACUAAUGCAAGUCCACCACUCGAUCAUGGAGAGAUUGGGGGUUGCUGAGCACUGCGGGAUACUGCAGUACUUGGGAGUGCCCUUCUCCAAACACAGAUUGAGGAGGAUCAAGCCGAGGGGGCGAAGCACACCACUCUGGAGCGGUUGGAUGGCUGGUAGGCUCGAAUUCUGUCGAUGAUCGGUAGAGUUACCUGAGUCAGGUCGGUGCUCAGCUCCAUGCCUAUGUAUCUUCUUUCGAAUAUCAUCUUGCCUAAGACGACAGUGCUGAGAAAUGAGCAACUAUUUCGGAGCUUUAUAUGGGAAUCACAGCCUGGUGGAGCUGGGGGCGUGCAUUUUGUGGCUUGGGAUGUGGUGCACCAGCCAUAGUGAGAGGGUGGUCUGGGAAUCCAGUUCUUAGUCACAAGACGAAAGGCUUUGAUCGCUUGGCAUGCUGCCAGGUUUCUUUUCUACUCAGAGUCCAUGUGGAGCAUGAUGAUGAGUGCUAGGUAUGAUUCUUGGCCAGUUGGCAGUGAGAUCUAGGCUAGUCAGAGGGCCUCUGCUCUAUGGAGGGAGAUCUAUGUGUAGGCCCCCGAUGUCAUUCUCCAAACAAAAUGGAUGAUUGGAGACAGCCACUUUGUUAGUAUUCUCCAGGACUCCUGGAUUGUGGAUAUGCUUUUGACCCGAUGGCCAAUCUUCGUUAGUUCUGAGGUGACUGACUGGAUGAGAAUAUGUGAUCUUCUCUACACCGACGGUACAGGCUGAGACCCAGCUGUGGUGGCUCGCCUCUUUGGAGAGUAGUUGGUGGGUGUGUGAUGUCUUUGGUAGUUCCUCUUCACCGAUGUCUGGAUAUCAGAGUGUGGAGAUCCUCGAGUAUGAUGAGACCCAUCACAGUUGAUUUUUACCAAAUAUACCGAUCGAGAGGCUACUAGGCAUCUGAAUGGUGGAUGGAUUUGGAGGCUGGGGGUGCAUCCGAGAGUGAGUUUCUUCCUCUAAAAGGUCAUUUAGGGAAGGCUUUCGACUAGGACUAUUCUGAGAGAGAGAGACAUGGAUGUUCAGGCUAUUUGCCCCCACCAUAGAGUGGAGGAGACGGUGAAGCACAUGCUAUUUCUAUAUCCAUCAGCUAGACGGAUUUGGUUCUUAGCGAGUUUGCAUCAUCAGAUUGUUCAGGCAGAGGAUCUGAUUGGGGCCUUCAUUGAUCUUUUGAGGUGAAAGGCUCGGAGCGAUGCAUCCAGGAAAGCUGUUAUUCGCACUACCUAUAUCGCUAGCAUAUUUGGUUAGUCAGAAAAAUCUGAGAAUCCCAUCGUACUCACAUAACGACCAGACGGAUAUUCAUCGUUUGAGAGCCCCCACCUCCAGAAUAUCUGAAAGUUAAUUUUGAGGGGAGCAUUAAAGAUAGAAAUAUUGGCACUGGCUUUGUCAUUUGAGGGCCUAAUUCUAGUCUGGGGCAGUAUAAGGCCACUAUCUGUUUGAGCCAAUAAUUUCUAGAGCAAAACUUCAUAUAGCUUGAACUCAAAUUGUAUAUGCAUGAAGGAUGUUGGGAGUGAACCGCAUAACUAUUAAGGAUAACUCAGCUAUUAUAAUGUCUUAAAUUCAAGGGUGUAUACAGGAAGCAAUUAACCACCUUCUUUUGCAUCUCAUGACUUCUUCUACACCUCUCAAGAUGCAUUGAAUUUACAGCCAAACAUAUCUUCAAAAAGAUAAACACUGCAGUAGAUUGGAUAAUGAUCUACAUUGCAAAGUAUAUUAAAGAUCAUUUGUGGACCACCUGAGGGUGGUCCCUAAACAAUUUACAGAUAUUUUAUUUUUUAAUAUUUUUGAAUGUAUUCAUAGAAGGCUCGUUGAAUAAUUCAUUUUAGCAAAAAAAAUAAAAAAAUCGAAGAAUGGCCAGCGGUCUAGAGCAAGUAAGCCAUCCAUCCAGAUUACCUUUGAACAAAGUAUUGCUUUUUUGAACCAAAAAAAAAAAAACAGCCGUGCGGCUGUGAGAAUUACCUUCACGUUCGCUUAGAUGGGUCGAUGAUGAAACAUUAGCCGUAUAAUACCAUUUGCCGUGUUAAACUAGUUUUGAGGUAACAAAGGCAUCAAAAAGGUGGUGGGCAGAUCAGCUCUAAAUCAAUUUUAAAAGUAACAAUGUAAAAAAAUGACAGGAAUACAAGUCACAUUAACAAAAUAAGAAAUGGAACCAUCAAAUCGUGCCUGGUAAAAGCACAAGACCAACCUUAAUCAAAAAUGAACCGGACCCAAAAACUACAACUCUUUCUCUCUCCCUAUGGCAUUCCAUUAUAGAGAGGCACCUGCAUGAAUUGAGCCGGCCUCGGAAUCAGUGAUCAAAGAACUCAUCAAGCUGAGAAUUGGGGGCAUUUGGCACCAUGCUCUUGAUGAAACAUGCUUCAAUAGAGAUACUAAGUGCCAACACUAUUACAACAUGCCUUGCUUCCAGAGCAGCAAAAGAUUCCCACAUAGUUACAACAAAACACCAUAAUACAGAAGAAAAUAUUAGGAAAACUUACUCUGAGAAUUUUGAAUGUAUUUUAGACCACCCUAAUCUCUCCUUGCCCAAGCCACAACUACGCAAGGGAGGCAGCAAUUGCUGGGGCCAUAACAGAUCUCACCAGGACGGCUGUAUUUCCAGUCACUGGCUGAAAGGAGGCAGCAGUCUCCAGACGUUCCCAGGUCAUCUUUCUUUUCUCCUCCACUGCCACUCGUUUCUCUUCCUCCUCCUCAAACUUUCUUUGGCAAGCCAGAAAUAGCUCCUCAUCCAUCUCAGAGAGCAUCUUCCUAACAUUCAUUGUUAGAUUCAGGACUGCCUGAUUCCAGUGAUUCUGGCUGUUCUUCUCUAAAGCUGGCACGAUAAGGGGCAUGAUAUCCUGCCGGUUUUGUGCCACCAGACUUAUCACAUGGUCGUUGUUCCACAAGAAUAGAGCUCGUUCAGCAACCUGCAAUGUAAUUCUUAUUCUCUUAAAGCAACUGAUAGGAAAAUAAACAUGACGAAUGAUAUUAGACCAAUGAAGGGAUUGAACAAGAGGAACCCGCCACAAAUUCGCAUGACCUUGAUUGGGACCGGUUAAUAAUAUUAGACUAGAUGUCAAGAAGGCUGCGGUAACACCUGACAACCAUAGUCACAAGUUCGGCAUCCGGGAACAGUUUAGCUAAAAUUAGUGAUUCAAAAUUAGGAAAAAAAUUUGGUACAUUCGUCAAAAGUUUUGGGGAAAAAAAGGUAAACCAAGAAUUAAGCAAGAAAAAUAAUAAAAUUAAAUUAGACUUUCUAAACCAUUGGUUAACUUAUUCAGUUAAAAAUAAGUAUAGGAGAGGGAAAUGAUAGUAAUAAACAUUACUGCUAGCAACAAUAGUGUCAUCCAUUUGUAACACAAACUUAUUUAAAUUUAGCUGCAAUCAGCUCGUCAAAAAAUCAAAAAAUUUGUUUAUAAUUAUAGACUAAUUGAAUACUUCUGGAUUGAUUCAUUUUUGGAAAGCAAUUUGGAGACUUUCAAGAGAAAAAACCGAGAACAAUUCUUAAAUUUUUAAAUAAUUAUGAGGAUUUUGUAACCACGGUAACAACCAAUUGUGGUGUAGAUUUUGGGAAGACAACUUGCUGAUAAAGUGCAUAUAACAUAUGCUCUAUCUUAAAGUCAUAGCAUUAUCUUUGAAAAAAAUAUCCGGUUCUCAGUGUUCAACAUGAUAUUAACACUGAACUACUGCGAUGAUAUAAUGUCUCUUUCAGUCAAAUGUAUUGGGCAACCGUAACAAGCCCCAAUAAUCACUACCCCAGCAAAUAUAGGUAGGGUUUGUAAAUGAUUAUUCUUCACCAAAUCAUUUACAUACAGGGCCAUAUCUACUUCCAAAUGCAACUUAUUUCAAUUCCAGUGUUCACUGUCAAAAAUUGAUGUGCAAGGAUAUGCAUAGCUUUGAUAAAUAACAACAAAUGGAGAUAUUUGGACAAUAUUAAUGAUAAGCAACAAAAAAAAAAAAACAAAGGGCUCCAGCACAGUGGCGGAUGCAUCUUAAUAAAAUGUGGGGUCAAUUGACCCCAACAAAAAAAAAAAAAAAUUAAGAUAUACACACACACACACUAAGAAAAGUCAAAUUGACCCUAUUAAUUUGAUGAAUUGACCCCAUAUCUCAUGUAAAAUUUUAAAGAAAUCAAAGAUAAAAAAGAUCACAUAAUAAGAGUAAUUAUGACCUACAUUCUCUCUCUUUAACGACUCACAUGUCCUAUCUCUCUCUCUCUCCCCCAACCCCAUCUAUCUACCUCUUAUGUUUAAAUCCCAUAUCAAUGUACCACAUCAAAAGAUGAAAAGAGUAAUUAUUACCUACAUUUUCUCUUUCUUUAAUGACUCACAUAACUCACCUCUUUUUCCCUCUCUCACACCACUUUGACCUCUCCCUCUCUCUCUCUCAUUCUCUCUUUCUUUAUUCAUUAAUUCUCUAUUUAUUUUUUAAUACCCCAUCUCAACCCCAUGGUCCCCAUCCAUCCACCCCUUAUAUUUAAACCCCACAUUAAUUUAUUUUUUAUACCCUAGUUAAUCUAAAUGCAAUAGAAAAUCAUAUAUUCUUCUUGUCUCUUUCUCAACCUGAAUCAGGUAUGUUUCUUUUAGCUUCUUUUAUUUUUAUCUUCUCUUUUUUUUCACUGAUAUCAAAUAGAAUUUUGCUAUGGUGCUCCUUUAUAAUAUUUUAUUAUAAAAGAUAUUUAAAAUAUUAUAUAUUAUCAUAUAUAUAUUUUAUUAUUUUUAAAAAUAAUAUUUUUUAUUUUUUUCUUUCUUUUUUCUCCCUUCGUGGCUCCUCCGUUUGCUCCUCCGUUUGACUGCUUUCCUCUACUCAUAGCUUCUCCACGCCCACCUCCCCCCACUCGCCGCUCCAUCUCACUCUACCCACGGCUCCACGCCCCACACGAGGCCACCUAUGGCUCCUCCGCCCAUCUACAGCUUCUCCACCCUCAGUCUACCCCACAGGUCCUCCUUACAAGUGAUGCAGAAAUAGCACUACACUUUAUUUAGUUCUCAAUGUUCUUAUUAUUUAUUCUUUAUUUUAUAUUGAUCCCACAAAAUAAAAUUUUUGGAUCCAUCGCUGCUCCGGCAUUAAGAAUUCAUAUAUGCAAAAGCAAUGGACAGCAAUGUCAUGGCAUAGAACAUAUACCCACGGAAUUCAUGAUGAGUCCAGAAGAAUAUUAAGAAAAAGGCCCCCAAAUAACAAAACAACAGAAGUAUCGUGUCAAAAACGGUUAACAAGAUAUAACGGCAUACAAUUCUGGCUCGAUGGAUGAGAAUCAAACAAUUGCCACCAAAGACAACUCUUUGUGAAACAACAAUAAUUACAAUAGGCUAAUUCUCUUUAUGAUUUACUGAUAUUUACUUUUCUGGACAUAUCUCAGGAAGGUAUGGAACUUGUAAGUCGGUCCAAAAACAACCCAGAUCUAGAUCUGGCCUUCACAUUAUCACUCUUUUAGCACAGAUUUCUUAACACCCAAAUCUGUGAAACAAUCCGAGGAGAAAACUUGCCUUAUUAAAUUACUGCAGCAAAGUGAAUCACAUAAAGCCAAAUAUACACCGAACGUCGAGAAAGUUCAGAUAGUCAAGUUCAACACCAGCACAAGGAAAUGAGUACACACAAAACCAGAAGCACUUAAAGAUUCCACUGGACUAAAAAUCUAAUGUAAACACAGCAUAAUUUGCCACCCUAAGCAUCUCAAUGGGGUCUUCUUUUGCUAAAGUGCUUUACAUGAUUCCAUAAGUGAAUUUAGUUUCCGUGCAGUAAGAUUUCACAGCCAUUUUUAACACACUAAAAGAAUACAGAUCCUACUUUAAAGCUUGUAGGUCACAUCCAGAUCUAAAACAAAAGUUGCCCAUAUAAGUGAAUUUUCAACAGUUUUGCAUGGAGGCCCCACAAAUUGUAAAACAACACCCACCAUGAGCUUGAUCGUAUGAUAGGGUGGGAACAUCCAAUCUUACGUACAACAUAACAAUGGGAUUGGUUUUGGACCUGUUAUAUCACUCCUUUGAUGGCUCGGCAAGAUAAGUAUCAAUGCCCCCAUGAGGAACCAUGCAAGCGUGUUUGGCCCCACAUCAACUAUGCACCAGGUAGAAUAGAUCUUAGGUAUUCAUAUAGGGCCAAUGAAACCAAAUAACACCCUCCGACUAGCCUUUUGGAAUGAGGUUGUGUUAUUACAAAUUAUAUCAGAGUGAACCCGGCUCAUGGCCCAUGUAGACUACGGAUACUACAACAUGGGUCUAUUUGAGCCGACCAUGGACUGAUCAUGAUGUUUGUGAUUGGAUUUGAAUAGAUUUGAACUUUUGACCUCGUAAGAACGUCAGGACCUAAAUGGAGAUAGUAUGUGAGGAUCUUGGAUAUUUAUACAGAGCUAAAGAACUCAAAUAAAACCUUCUAGCUAGCCUUUUUGGAUGAGAUCUUAGGUUGUUAUAGCCCCAGUUCUAAGCAGCCAUAAAACUUAAUGGCCAUCCUCUAUUCUUCAAAAAGAAAUACCUUUUUCCUUCUAUGGAACAAAGAAUAGGUUGUCAAGAACGAUCACCAACAUUUAAUUAUAAUAUUUACAAAAAACAGUUCCUACUUAUAACACCACUUCUUGGGGAAAACAACAAAGAAACAGAAAAAAUUGUUCUGGACCUCGUAAAAGGACUUAAAAUGUGUAUCCCACAACUUUCUUUAUCCUGGUAAAAAUAACACAAGUAUCACUGUUCCUAGACUUUUUACCUCCAACAAAAGCUCAAUUUUGCCUUGCUUGUGUUUCUAAAGUUCCUCUUGAGUAAAAUUCAAAUAUGUCAGCCCCUUACAAACUGAAGUAAACAUAGUAGCAUAUAGGUGUCACUUACUGAUAUCCAAUAUUGCUUGCUUAAUAUGAUUCAUUAUUCCUGUAUCCAUGCAUACCGAGCAAAUCAACAUAAAUACAUCAAAUAUAAUAAAUCAUAGCAUAAGUAUAAGAAGGUGCCUAUUACAACUGAUUUUGUUUUCCUUUUACCAAAUUUCUUAUGCAUGUACAAAUGGAUCACAUAAAGAAAUGGAAAAUUUGGUAAGGAGACUUCUUUCAACCCACAUAUUAUAAAACACAAAGAAACCCUAAUUCCAUCUACAUGGCAAAAUACCAAGGUGAUAGCAAGAAUUAGUUCCUGCUUGGGCAGUACACCUCAAGUGGCUUUGACGUUCUCUCAGAUUGCUUUCUAAAAUAGAAAGGUUAACGAUGUACAAUAAAACAUAUCCUUAGUGGGAGUUAAAGGUUUUUAAGAACUUAUAAUGAUUAUCUACGACUGCACAUCAAAUUAUACAAAUCAAAUGGUACAUGCAACUUGAGUUGCUCAAAGUACAAGCCGCUUAACUUAGCGUGGGUGACAUACAUAAAAGGACUAAUGAAAUCUCGUUAUUGAACAAGCAAGAUAGUAUCUCAGGUAUAUUGACAAAUAUCAAGUCAACCAAUGUGAGUAAAAUUACAAGUUUGAUUGUCAUAGUAAAUCAAACAAAGUUGAUUACUUGACUAGGAGAGACAAUUUGGCCAAUAAAGUUAAUAUGUGUCUCUAAUGAAUUGCACGAAAUCAAGAUUUGAAAUGUCACCAGAUAUAAGGUUUCAUCAUUCAAGCGAGUUGGUUCACUUUAUUCACCAAGUUUUAGAAUGUCCAAAAUGUGAUGCAAUUAGACUUUCAUAUUCCCAUACAACAUGUACCUCAAUUUUUCUUUUUGACCUGUUGCAAAUGCAAAUGGAAAUGCCACAAAAGCCAAGGCCCAUUCAAAUGGUGAGCUGCACAUCCAAUGUGGGUCCGUUCUAUGCUUGAUAGCAUGAUCAACUCAAAUUGAUAUACAACGAAUCCUAUACAACUUUAGAGGUCAACUUACAAUAACGUCAACUGUUUUUAAAAAGUCAAACUGAUCAAUAUAAAAUAACUUGCUUGACUCAUCACUAGUGCAAAAAGUCAAGCUCAAAUUGGUCAAUAUGAUUAUUUAGGUCAACUAGGUACAAUUUUCGGAAAAAGCUAACUGCUUAAAUUGGUUAAUUUGGUUGAACAAUAUUACCAGUAUAAGUCAAUCUUGCAAAAUAUUGGACAUUCAAAAAAAGGGUUUCCAACUCACAUAGUGCCAAAAGUAAAAAUAAAACUAGAAUCUAGCGAACUCAACUUUCAUGAAGCCUAUUUCAUUAUUAAGAGCAAUUAUGCAUGGUUGGAAAACACUGUCCUUCUACAAUAAGAAUUGAAAGCUCUAUACCAGCAUCCAGGUCUUACUACAUGAGAACAAACCACAAUGCCUAGAUCUUACCAGUCCCAAAUUUCAUAGAAAUCUAAUGUUCAGGCUUGCAAAAUAAGUAUUACAAGUCAAAAACUUUUUCCAAGAUUUUAAAUCAUCAAAGACAUAAACCUCUUAACUACCUAAUAUUAGAAAGGAACACCACAACCACCAAGCAAAAAGGAAUCCCAUUAAUAUUAUGCACAUUCUGAUUAUGCAUUCUUCAAUACAUCAAAAAGAAAGGCCUUCGCAUGGGAACCACAAAUAGCUAUCAUCAAUUCAUUAUUAUUGAUUCCACGAUGGGUAAAUUUCAUUUGCCCGAACUAAUACCUUAGAAGCAUCACACAUUAGACAAGUAUAAUUUCCAUGUCAAAAUCUUUCAGUUCAUGAGUAACCAAGCAAGCAUAAGUGCAUGUGUGUGUUUGUGAGUGUCUACAUGUUCAUUUGAAAGGAAUAGGGAACAUCCACGCCAAGAAGCAAGAGAGUAAAGCCUUAUCCUAGUUGUUUUGAUCAGCAUCAUGAAAACUUCUUUGCCAAAAAUUCCUCUUACAGCCUCCACCAGAUUUCAUUUUAUGCUUUCCAGUUUUAAUCUACUUUUUCCACAAAAGGUUGUCUCUCCCUGUUUCUUAACCUUCAACACAAAUCCAAGCUCCACCCCCUUGGGGAACUCUCCUUAAAACUCCAUACAUUUUAAUCGGUUCUCUACAUCUUUGUCCUUGAUUAGUGCACUUCCUACAUUUCCUAAUUUAGCGCUAUGGCAAUUAUUCCAUACCAUCUCCAACAGAUCAAUCCUGCCGCAACUGAAAACCCAAUUUACCUUGGUUUACUUUCUAUUGUUUUUGUGAAGUGAUCUAUGGUUCUAACGGGCCAUGAAGUUGAUCGGUUAUGGGUUUGAUAAUGCUAAUAUUUUUAAACGAUCAAUUAAAGAUAACAAAAGGUGGAUUGGAUUGCACAAAAAGUUGUUGUGGCUGAAGAAAAGCUUUUCUAUCCAUUCUAUCUACCGGGAUAAGCAUGAUUAUACAUUUUUAUGUAUAAGGAGGCUAGUCCACCUUGCUUCAUUGAGACCGUGGCACACUCAUCAAAUAAGAUAGGACAUGGUAGAUUAAAAAUCCAAGUUGAUCUAUGAAUCUUGUACAUAUCUAUCACCCUUGAUCUUUGCUCUAGAUCUCGAAGAAUUGCGAAACUCAGUCUCAUCUAAUCAAGCAUGUGAAUUAAAACCUUGGUAUACUUGGUUCAUAUGGGACAGCAUCAGAAUUAUCGGACUGGUGUUAUGAACCAAACCCGACUCAACCCUGGAUGAAAAUUUCCUAUGUAGCUGGCUCCUAAGGCCAGCCCUAGGUGGCCAACUACAUCUAGAAACCCUGGGGCAUCCACAUGCCUAGGGCUUCCUAGGUGGUUGCCACAUGCUAGGGUCCAAUCCCGGUGGGUUGCCAACCCCAUGGUUUCCUAGGUUGGCACCACAAAUGCCUCAGGCUUCGACCAUAGGGAUGGCAGGGACACAACAUUUGGGUGUGUGUGGUUUUCUCAUAUCACAGUGAGAACUCAAGUAAGAGUUCUCUAGUGCCACCAACAAAGAGAGAGAGAGAGAAGGAAGAAACAAAAAAAGAGAUAAGGAAGAGAAUACCAAGUAAUUUAAGGGCUUGCUGAAAGUGAGCACUCUGUGUGACGUCUAGAGAAGUUUUCAUCCAUCUUCCUCCCUCUUCUUGCAUUCUCAAAUCAUCUGUACAAGUAUCAAUCUGUCUUGCCAUGUGUGUAAUCUAUAUUUCUUCGAAAUUUAUCAGAAAAAGAGUGAUCUGAUUCCUAUUCUCCUGCUACAUCACAAUGUUGUACUGCAUAAGCGUCCAUUAGGUUUCUCGUCACCUUAUCCAUAAUUCGCUUAAUAUUUAUAUUUUUAUAUUUUGCAAUAUGAGAUCGUAUUGUAUCAACCCAAAACAAACCAAUAUUGCAAUCUUUAAAUAGAUAGGUCUAAAUCACACCUUGAUUGUUACCAUCUUUUUUGCCUUGCCUGUAACCAAUAGGAGACAUGACAUGCAUCCAUUUUGCUUGUAUCAGAAGUAGACAGUAAUAGGAAACACAAGCAUUUCCAAAGAAGGUAAUCAGGAGAUUGAAGACAUCCCAUGGAUUUUUCUUUCCUGUGAAAUAUUUAAGGCUUGCCAAUUACAUAUCCUUGUUUAACAUGUCCUGUUUCUCAUGUAAUAAAAAUUACAUCAUCACCAAAUAGAAAAUAGGCACAAUGUAAGAUCACAAUCUGUCCAGAUCUCUCUGUGGAUAGAAAAAAGGUUUCAGACAAUGGAGGGUAUAAACAUAAGAAAUCACCAAUACAACUAUAAAACAGAAAACAUGCAACUAAAAGAAACACAGAGGGGUAAAAGUCUCCAGAUUACACUAACUAAAUAAGGAUAUAGGUCAUGCUGAUUAGCAACUGAUAUAACAAGUACUCGACAAUCAUAAUGACUGUAAACAACGAGGAUGCAAACAUGCAUCUAGCUAUUCCAUAAGCAUAAUCAUUUUGACAAAUACUUGAAAGCACAAACAUAACAGAGGAAUUACUAAAAGGAGAGAAAGCAUCCAUACCAGCAUACCCAGAUUAAAUUACGAAAUAAUGUCCUUGUGGCAGAAUAUUUGGGAAAAAAGAAGAUGUUAUGUUUUACUAACAGCUACUUCUUCAAUAGCUUAGAGCAGGACAAUGAUUGGCAGACCAUCAUAUGGAAUUAUCAGGCACACAGGCAGAUCAGCAGUUUUACUUUUGUCACAAUAAAGAGGCAGCCUCUAUGAUGACAGGGGUGAUAAAAGGUAUUGCCAAAAACUAGAAGUACCAAAAAAAAAGGUUAAAAAUACGUAUAUGUUUAGAAAAAAUCAACUUGCCCAUCCUUUUUUU